UGUAUAUUCUUGAGUUGUCGCAAGAAUCCCCACAGUUGCCGUCACACUGCUUGAUCUUAGCUGGUGCUUCAACAGGAGGACCACCAUAACCACCUCCCUGAUUUCGAGGACCACCAGAACCAUACCCACCGUCAUAUCCACCAGGAGGUCCACCGCGACCACCAGUCCGUGCAUCACUCAAACCCUCACCAGCAUAGCCACCUGCAGGGCCACCAUAAGAUGGAGGGUAUGAUGUAGGUCCACCAGUAUAGCUUGUAGGUGGAGGGACUGAGUCCAUUCCAUAAUUUGCAUUCCCACCAUAUGCAUUAGGAGCAGGUGGAUAAUUCCCACCAUAAGAAUUGGGUGCUGGAGGAGGAACUUGACCGUACCCACUAUCUUCUCCCCCUUGACUACUUCCAUAAGAACCACCUCUACUACCACUGCUUCUAUUAUCAUUGUUUCCACCUCUGCCUCCAUCAUAGUUGUUAUUCCUCCCACUAUCAUAACCACCUCUACCCCCAUCUCUACCUCCGCGAUUACCGCCAUAUCCCCCACCACCACCUCUGCUAUAACCACCACCAGUACUACCACUACCACGAUCACCACCAGCACCCGCAGGAGAUGGUGCACCGCAUUUGUUACAUUCAACUCUUCUUGCAAAGUUCAAGUUCCCACAGCUACAUAAACAUAUGCCAGUUCAAAUAAACACAAAUCUAACAACUAACAGUAGUAUCAUAAUAUCAGCAGCAAACCAAAACCUGAAUAUUUGACUAAUUAACAAUGCAAAAUCCACAACGGAGAGGAAAACCUCCCCCCAUAAGGAAAUCAAAAGCAGUGGAAGAUCGUUUACCUGGGGUUAGGGCAAAGCCAAUCACCAUCACGGCCGCUUCCACCACGACCACCACCUCUUCCAGCACGCUCUCCUCCUUGAUAGCCUCCACCGCCUCCUGCAGCAUCAAGAUCUCAUUAAUUAAACUAAGAACAUAACAAGACCUUAAAAGCGGAUUGAUCUCCAAAAAACCAAUAUCAAAUUUGCGAGAAAACGAACACUCAACAACGCUACCCCACAAAUCUAACAAAAAAUAUUAAGAACAAACAAAAUUACCUCGAUUUUGAUAACCACCGCCAUAUCCUCCACCACCUCCUCUGCCGCCUCCACCUCGACCCCCAUGACCUCCACUUCCACCUCGUCCGCCUCCACCAUAACCCCCGCCGCCGCCAUAGCCUCCAGAACCGCCAUAACCACCACCAUAUGAAGGCGGAGCAGCUUCGCCUCCGUCUUGACCGUACAUCCUUUAACGAUGUAUCUAGGGCUUUUUUGUUUUGUUUGUGUCGUUCGUUUUAGGGGACAGAGAACAAGAAAAAAAAAAAGAAAUAUUUAGGGUUCAGUAAAAUUAAAAAAUGUGUGAUGUUGGAAUAUAUAAAGGCCGUCCGUCUAAGAGACGAUAGAUUAUUUGCCUUGCCCUCUUCUUUCUUUUUGUGCGGUGAGUCGCAUCGCAUACAAUUCUCCAACACGUGUCACUCAUAAGGCCUACUUAGAUUUAAUCAUGGCCAAAUUGGCUUCUCGUUUAAUAUGUUUUGACUUUGAAAAUUGGAUAUAAAAUUUUAUGCUAAACCCCAAUUUGGGCUAUCCACAUUAAAAAUUUUAUACUAUUUUUAUUUGAAAAAGAAUUUAAAAAAUAUAAUAUAUCAAAUACACUAAAAAUAUUAAAAUAAAUAUUUUUUAACAAAUUAAAAAUAUGUUAUAAAAUUUUUUUAUAUUUAAAUAAAAUUAAAAUAGUUACAAUUUAACAAGCAAAUGCCUCUAAAAUAGUAGCAAAAUUAUUAAUAAAAUAAAAAUUAUAUAAUAUUUAAAUAAUAAUAACAAUAUAAUAACAAUAUAAUAGCAAAAUUACAUCAAAAUGGUAGCAAACAAUAGCAGAAUAAUAAUGAAACAUUAAUAAACAAUAGUGAAAAAAAUUUGAACAAAUUUAGACAAACAACUCGAGGUCCAGCCCGUUUAGAAAACAUGCUCAACUCAUAAUCAGGUCAAAGCCUACUUCCUCUAAUUUUUUAUAACAUUAAAAAUUCAUUUUAUUAUAAACGAUCAAUUGAGCAACACGAGAAAAAAAAAACCAUAUAAGAUUGAAGUCAAUCCAAGGCCUACGGAGGAAAGAAACUAUGUAUAAAAUCAAAAUAGUGCUCUCUCUUAACCAGCAACAACAACCUCCUAAAGGUAGAAUGAUUAUAAAAGUUUUUCAUGAUUAGGCUAGGAUCAUCAACCCAAGCUAAAAGCUAUGUCAUUCCGCAGACUUAGCCAUCUAUUGACAGUGCUUGGAUAUAGUUAUCAGAUAAAUAAAAAGAUUAAGUAUUAUAGUGUCACUUAUAAUCAGAAUCGAAUAGGUGAAUAUUAAAGUCCAAACUCUAGAAUGGAGGUUGUAACAUUCUAUAUCUGAUCUGAUCGUCGAGUCUGAGUUUCAAGAUGUUAUGAUUAUCGAUUUCAUAAAAUUUAAAACAUCAUGUAACAUAUCAACAUUUAAAUACAUAACUAAAUAUCAUUCAUGUACAUAAAGUAAUACACAAUCAUUUUUGGGCCCUACUCAAUCUUACGAAAACUCUUUUGUUAACCUGAGCAUGAAAUAUGACUAAAUUGUGAAGUUUGAAAAAUCUCGAGCCAACAUGACGACACCAUGUUUUUCACAUCGCAAGUCAAUGAGUUACAUCGUGAUGUUAAACCUCUCCACGUCACGACCCCACUCGCUGUCAGACAAGGUUGCGAUGCCGAAAUCUCCUAAUCACGACAUUGCCUUUAUUUUGACAAAAUGCACAUUUGAUAUCAAGUCAAUUACUUUCAAACCAACCUUAAAUACUAUCACACAAUCAUUCACCAAAUAAAAACUACUUUACCAUGCCAAACUAACACAAUUCAAGCAUGAAGACAUUCCACCAAAUUAUUUACGUGACGGCCCUAAUUAGACCCUAGUCGGAAUGUGGUUUCGGGACCACAAAACCGAGUCACAAAAAUUUAUUUUUGUUUUAAUUGUAUAUAUUUAUAUGUGAUAGUGUAUGUGUGAAAAAAAAAAUUAAAUGCUUAAAAUUAGCCUUAGGAAUGUGAAUUUUCUUGAAAGGACUUAGUUGAGAAAUUUAGAAAAGAUGAUAGGUAAAUUGUAAGGAUUAAAUAACAAUAAGGUGAAAAAGCAUGGAUUUGCAUGUCAAAAUGCCCAUUUUUGCACUAAGUGGCCAGCCAAGUAAUGAUGCCCUUCCACUAAUUUAAAUUAAUUUGUAUAUUAAAUUGGCAAAGGAAUAAAAUAUUCAAAUCUUAAUGAAUAAAAAAAUAAAAAGAUGAAUAAAAGAAAAGAAAAGUGUUCAUCUUCUUCCUGGUUACAAACCGAAACAAAAGAAAAAAAAAAGAGAAAUUUCAUUAGGGCAAUUCAGCACCUUCUUGGCUAGUUGGAGGUAAGAUUUGAAGUUAUUUUUGGAAUUUUUCCUUUAAAUGUUUAAGUUAAUUGUAAAUGCAUCUCUUGGCCAUGUCAAAAAAAAAAGAAAAGAAAUCAAAGUUCUAUGGUAGUUUGGGCACUAAGCCGUAUAUCAAUGUAGUAGAAUUGGAGGUUGCUUUCAUGUUGUUUUGAAUAUGUAGAUGAGAGAAUGAGGUUGAACUUGUUGAAUUAUUAGUUGGGUAGUACAUUGUGUAUUCGGCCAUAUGAGGAUUUGAAUGGAAUAUUCAUUUUGUUUGCUAUUUUCUUGUAUGAGUAAUGGUUCAAUGUAAGCCGAAUAAGUCAUGAUAGAUACGUUAAAAUGCAAAAUUCAAGAUUAUGAGGUAAAAUGAGUAGUUGACUGAGACAUGGAAGAAGGAAAUAGAUUGAUGUCUUAUGUUUUGGGAGUGUAAGGCAUGAUGUAAACAUAGUAAGUUUAAGUGCAUAUUUUAGUAUAAGUGAUAAGUAAAAUUUGGUUAAAAUAGUUUGACAUAUGUAUGUUUGUCGAUUUUAAAUCAAGAUAGUUUGGGGUGACCUAAUUUAUGUAUUCGAAAUUUAUUUGAGUAGUUACUAUGGGCACUAAGAUGUUGAACUCAUGAAAUUAGAGGAAUACGAGCUUGAUAGAUUUUAAAAGAGCACUAACCGAAAAUGAACUUAGCUAAUAAAAUUUGGAAAUGUGAAUUGCCGAAAUUGAUCUUAUGAUGUAUUGAAUUAUAGGAAUAUAUGAGAAGUAUGUUGGAUAUACAUUAAGUUUAAAUAUUUAAAUUUUAAAUUAUGUAUGAGCAAAUACCGAAUCUUUGUGUGUGUGUGUCUAUGAGGAAGAAGUAUAAAUUGGGGUUACGAUGAUUUAGUUUUUUUAUUUGCUUAGCUGGAGUUGGAGCUCAAGAUCAAAGGGAGCCAAGUUCGGAAAAAGGGAAAGCAAGAGUGAUGGAGUAGCCGAGCGGAGUUGUCAUCCAAUUAAAAAGGUAAGUCCUUAGGUAAUCAAGUUAUAGUUAACUUUGAGCAUAGAUGAGACAAAUUAAGUUAGAUAAGAUAUCAUAGUAUAUAUAUGUUCUUGGGAAUCGAAUGUGAAAUUAUUGAUCAAUCUAUGAUAAUAUGAUGAUUAAAGAUAAGAAAAUAUAGCACUAUGUGUGCGAAGCUAUGUGGCACUAUGUGUGCAAGAAAACAUUACACUAUGUGUGCGAAUAAGUAAAAGCACUCUGUGUGCGGACUUUCAAAUCGAGCACUAAGUGUGAAAUGUUGAUUAUGGAGUAUUAUUUGUGGCAAUUAAGAAUGCAACUAAACAUUAAAUUGGAUAUUUGAUUGAUAAAUGGAGUGGCUUGGUUUAUGCUUUAAAUUUUAGGCUUUGUAUAUUAUAUAUAUACAUAUAUAUACGUCAAUGGUUGUAUAUGACAUUGCCAUGGUAUUUUAAUUGUGAAUAUUUAGAGUAGGAGUAUAUGGUGUAUUCGGGUAAGUAUGUACCAAAUGCAUAAGGUACGUUUGUGACAUAAUAUAUUUCCUUGUGAUAUCAUGGCUAAGUUCGAAUAGUAUUGAGUGAAUUAUUUAGUUUGUAGAUAAUUGAAUUAUUAUAGUAUUGAAAUUUUCUUAGGACUUACUGAGUUAAUAACUCACUCGGUGUGUUUUUCGCUUUGGUAUAGAUCAUUUUAUUCGAGGAAAGCUUGGGAACCAUCACGAAGUCAUCGCAACUUUUGUCAACCUUUUUGGUACUUUUGUUUGAAACUUUAGUAGACAUUAUGGCAUGUAUAGGAUAGUAAUUUUGGGAGGUUAGCUAUUUUGAUAUAAUUGUAUAUAAAGCCAUACGAAUAUGGCUAAAGUUCUAUGUAUGAAUUUGAAAAUGUUUUGGUUAUAAAUCUUGAUUUAGAACUUCAUAUUUGUGAUAUGAUUGAAUUAUAUAUAUUAUGUAUGUGCACUCGGUCAAUAGGGGAUAAAUCAUAAAAUGAAUAGAAGGGUUUUAAUCGGGUAAUGUUAUUCGUAAAUUUUAAGAUUUCACUUUUAAAUUUUAUUUUGUAUCUCAAGUGUUCUAUUGAAAAGUUGAGCAUGUUAUGUUUUAUGAACCUACUCUAGUAAUCGACACGGAUAUUUGGGUGUUACAUUUUAUUGGUAUCAGAGUCACAGUUUAGUCGAUUCUAGGACUACUGUAGCGCGUAUGAGUCUAGCUAUACAUGCCAUAAUGCUAGGAUAUGAUAGUGUGAUGACUUAGACGGUUGAAAUUGUUGUUUGAUUAGUAAUUGGAAUCCACUCCAGAGAGAGCCUUAACGGAUGACGUUGAGAGUGUAGCGCCUACUCCCACGCAAGGGACAGCGCCUGUUGAACCUCAACCAUCUGCGAGUAAUCAAGAUGAUGGGGCUAAACAAGCCUUCUUUACCAUGAUGAAUGAGUGGGUUGCACAGUAUGCCCGAACAAACCUGGCUGCUCAACAAUUCCCGAAUUUGAAUAAUCCUUCUCCGGUGCCUAUAAUACCAGCAAUUACUAACCCUAUGAGGCUGAGUAAACCUCCUGUUGAUUUGAUUAGAAAGCGCGGGGCCGAGGAAUUUCGAGCCACCGCUACUGAUGACGCUGAAAGGGCUAAGUUUUGGCUUGAUAAUACCAUCCGUGUUUUUGAUGAGCUAUCUUGCACACCCGAUAAGUGUCUAAAGUGUGCCAUAUCCUUAUUACGCGAUUCGGCCUACUAUUGGUGAAGAACCUUGAUUUCGAUUGUUCCAAAUGAACGAGUUACUUGGGACUUCUUCCAGAUGGAGUUUCGUAAAAAGUAUAUCAGUCAACAAUUCAUUGAUCAAAAGCGCAAAGAAUUUUUGGAGCUUAAACAAGGCCGUUUGACGGUAUUCGAAUAUGAACGUGAGUUUGUAAGGCUCAGUCGAUAUGCUCAGGAGUGUGUAGCUGAUGAAGUUACCAUGUGUAAAAGAUUUGAAGAGGGAUUGAAUGAAGAUUUAAAGCUACUGGUGGGUAUUUUAGAACUAAAAAAAUUUGUAACACUGGUUGAACGAGCUUGCAAGGCUGAAGAGCUUGGAAAGGAGAAAAAGAAAGCUGAAACUGAAGCUAGAGAUUUUCGCAAAAGAUCGAUGGGUAAAACUUAUUUCUCGGCUGCAAAGAAGUUCAGAGACGAUACUAAUAGAUCAAAGACGACUGCAGGAAUUUCUAUUAAGGAGCGACCAUCAACGGACUCUCGAGCUACUUCGGUUGCUAGUGUUGGCAACAAUCGGCCAGAAAAACCCAAAUGUCCACAGUGUGAAAGACGACAUGUAGUGUAAUACCCCUACCCGUAUUCAUUGCCGGAAUAGGGUACGAGGCAUUACCGGAGUUUACGAAUUAAUUUUUUUUAUAUUCAAUAUAGCCCUUUUAUAAAUAUCUAACCUUCCCUGUAAUAUUAAAUCGAGACCAAUCCACAUCAACCAAAUCAAUUCAACAUAUUUUCAUGAUAGAUUCAUGCAUUUAUAUAAGAUAACGUCAUCACAUAUCUAUAACCAGGUUUGUUAACCAUACUAAUGGCUAACUUUACAUUCAUUUCACGUUAACAUUUACUUUGUUAGCUUAUACAUGCCAUUGAUUUCUAAAAUAAAGUUUCUUUAUAUACCGAAAUCCUGAGGUUGACAGUGUGAUGUGUCUCCGACCAAAUCCGACCUCCGAGCUCUUAACACUACAAAACAGGGAAAAAGGAAACGGGGUAAGCACUUUGUGCUUAGUAAGCUCAUGUAACAAGAAUUAUACUUACCUAAUAUUUUCAAUACAAUAUAAUAAACGUUCAUAUAUCCAUUCAAUGCAUUAUUACCCUAACAUGCACAAACUCAACAUUCAAGUUAGUACAAUAAUUUCCAUGUAUCAAUAAUAUAUAUACCAUGAUUGAUGAGCUCGUCAAUACCAUGAUUUCCAUUUCCUUGCUAUUUUUCCAUAUUUAUCCCGUUGAAUUUAUCGGAAUUUUGAUGGAUUUUCAGAGGUACACAUUUAUUGUACAAUUCCGGGUCCGUCAAUUCAUAUUCAUGUGCGCACAUAUCCAUUUCAGAGAGCACACUCCCGCGAACCUCAACCUUGCAGCGGGAUUACCAGUCCAGGCUAAAUCCCCUGCAAUAUAAACUCAUAGAGUAUUGUCGGGAUUACCAGUCCAGGCUAAAUCCCCUGCAAUGACAAUUACUCUAAUGAGCUUGGAUCUGAAUUACCAGUCCAGGCUAAAUUCAGACCCUAAUUCGGAUUACCCGUCCGGGCUAAAUCCAUUUUACGCAUAUUCUUCGGGAGGGCUAUAUCAGGAUAGGAUCACCCGUCCGGGCUAGAUCCUUUUUACCGUCAAUUCCUUUUCAGAGAUCCAUCGAAUUUUCCUUUCAUUCAAACGGGAUUUCUUCCCAUUUUAUCAAAUAUAUCAAUGUUUCAUAAAUUUCCAUAUAAUGAAAAUUCAAAUCAUAUUCACAUCAAUAACAUACAAUCUCAAGCAUUUCAGAAUAUAAUUCAAGUUACACGAACUUACCUUGAUACUUGUUUGUAAACAGUAAAAAUAUACUAAUCCCGAACUUUUUCCUUUCCUCGAUCUAGCUUCGUAUAUGAAUCUUCCGGAUCUAAAUAAAUAAACUUAAUUAUUAAUUUAAUAUAUUUCAUGUUCAUAUGCAACAUUCUCUAUAAUUCAACUAUUAUUUAUAGUUCAUUCAAAGCUGUCUACUUGAGUCAUAGUCACUAAAUUAUUUAUAACUUGAGCUAAGGAACUCCAAAUUAAGAUUCGUUAAUUUUCCCUGAAACUAGACUCAUAUAUAUUUUUACCAUAAAAUUUCAGAAUUUUUGGUUUAGCCAAUCAGUACAGUUUAUUCUUCAAAGUCACCCCUGUUCUGUUGUCUAACAGUUCUGACCCUUCUUCACUAAAAAUAAAUUAUCUCUUUAUACAGAAUUCAAAUGAUGUUAUCGUUUGUUUCUAUUAAAAAUAGACUCAUUCAAAAUUCUAUACAUAUAAAUUUAAGCCCAUAAUUGUUUUUAUUAAAUUUUUUAUGAUUUUUCAAAUUCAGAAUAGGGGAACCCAAAUUCAUUCUGACCUUGUCUCACAAAAUUCAUUAUAUCUCAAAAUUUACAAAUCCAUUGCUUACAAUAUUUCUUCUAUGAGAAACUAGACUCAAUAAGCUUUAAUUCCAUAUUUUGUUCAUCUUCUAAUUCGAUUCUUAAAAUUUUUGGUGAUUUUUCAAAGUUAGUCUACUGCUGCUGUCUAAACUGUUUUAGUGCAAGCUAUUUAUUGCCAUUUUCCCCUAAGCUUUUAAUAAAUGAUAAUUUCGUCCCUACUCAAUUAGCCUCUCAAUUGAGCUGAUUUUUCUCAAUUAACAUUUUAUUCUAUCACCUUAAACUAGUUUACAACCUUUAGGAAUCAUAAUUUCAGCAAUAGACUUUAAUUCCAAACAUUUUCACAAUUAGGUCCUAAAAAUCAAUUUCCAUUGAAAUUGCCUAAUAAAAUCAUCUCAUAAACAAAUUAGAGCUUUAAUUUCAUUCUAUUUCAUCAUAAACUUACAGCACUCAACCAUGGUGACUUUAAAUUUCAUCCAUGAAAUCAAAAACUAAUGAAUUUAAUAGUAGGACCUAGUUGUAAAAGUCUUAGAAACACAAAAAUUACAAGAAAAAGGCAAGGAUUAACUCACUUGAUGCAAACAUUAUGAAAUACCAGCUUAGAGAACCCUCCUAUGGCAUUUUUAGCUGCUGGAAUUGAAGAGAAAUGAAGAGAAAUCUAGAUAUUUCCUAUUUAGUCCUAGUUUUAUUUAGUUAAUUUUGCAAUAUUCCAAUUUUACCCUUAAUUUAUCAAUUUUUCUGCUGAUUUCAUACCCUUGCCGUCCAUCCCAAAUAAAUUUUGGGUCUAAUUUCCUUUUAAAUCCUUUCUCAUUAGACUCUUAAGCUAUUUAAUCACUCUAGCAACUUUUGCACCUAUUACAAUUUAGUCCUUUUCAUUUAAUUGACUACCCAAACAUUAAAAUUUCCUAACGAAAUUUUAAUACCACAUUAAUAACAUUUCAUAAAUAUUUAUAAAAUUAUUUUCGACUUGGUUUUAUGAGAUAGAGGUCCCGAUACCUUAUUUUACCCAAUUUCUUCAACAAUUUCUUCAAUAAUUUCAUUUUCUAACUAAUCACUAAAUCGAUAAAAUUUUCCUAUCAAUAUUUUCAUACAAUUUUCCUAUCAUAUCAAUUUUCAAGAAAAAAUAUUGAAAUAAAUUUCUCUUUAAAUCGGAUCUAUAGUUACGAAACCAUUGUUCCGAUAACCUUGAAUUUAGGCCAUUACAACUCUCCCCCCUUUUAAGGAUUUUCGUCCUCGAAAAUCUUACCAGUAAAGAGGUUUGGGUAUUGUUUCCUCAUUUCCUCCUCCGGUUCCCAUGUUGCUUCCUCAAUCCCGUGCUUUUGCCACAAUACUUUCACCAAAUUUAUCUUUUUAUUUCUAAGCUCUUUUGUCUCCCGUGCCAAUAUCUUGACCGGUUCUUCACUGUAAGUCAUAUCCGGUUCAAUCUCUACUUCUAUCGGAGAAAUAACAUGUGAAGGAUCUGAUUGAUAUCAUCGUAACAUAGAUACAUGAAAAACAUUAUGGAUUCUAUCAAGUUCCGGUGGUAAUACCAAUCGAUAAGCGACCGAUCCAAUUCUUUCUAUGAUUUCAUAGGGCCCGAUAAAUCUUGGACUCAAUUUACCCUUUCGACCGAAUCGAAGAACUUUCUUCCAAGGAGACACUUUCAGAAAUACCUUGUCACCGACUUGAAAUUCAAUCUCAUUUCGCUUAAGGUCGGCAUAUGAUUUUUGACAAUCGGAAGUUACUUUUAGACUAUCUCGAAUAACCUUUACUUUUUCUUUUGUUUCCCAGAUCAAAUCAACCCCAUGUAUCUUCCUUUCACUGAGCUCUGUCCAAUAUAACGGUGUUCUACAUUUUCUACCAUACAAAGCUUCAUACGGAGCCAUUUUAAUACUAGACUGAUAACUGUUAUUGUAAGCAAAUUCAAUCAAAGGUAGAUACCUCUCCCAAUUACCUUCAAACUCUAGUAUACAACAUCGGAGCAUAUCUUCCAAUACUUGAAUUACACGCUAAGAUUGACCAUCUGUCUGAGGAUGAAAUGCAGUGCUGAAAUACAACUGAGUACCCAAGGCUUCUUACAAUUUGUCCCAGAAACGAGACGUAAAUCGGGGAUCUCUAUCUGAUAUAAUGGAGACAGGCACUCCAUGUAACCUGACAAUCUCAGAUAUGUACAGUUCAGCUAGUUUAUCUAAAGAAUAAUCCAUACGUAUCGGAAUAAAGUGAGCUGACUUUGUUAAUCGAUCAACAAUCACCCAAAUAGCAUCUUUUUUCCUUGGAGACAAAGGUAGCCCCGAUACAAAAUCUAUAGUGAUUCUUUCCCAUUUCCAUUCCGAUAUAGUAAUUGGCUGAAGUAACCCCGAAGGUACCUGAUGUUCAGCUUUAACUUGUUGACAUAUUAAACACCUUGAUACAAACUCAGAGAUAUCACGUUUCAUUCCCGACCACCAGUACAUCUUUUUCAGAUUAUUAUACAUUUUAUUACUUCCCAGAUGUAUAGACAUAGUACUACUGUGGGCCUCGCGUAGAAUCUUCUGUAUGAGCUCUGAAUUCUGAGGUACACAUACCCUACCUCUGAAUAAUAAACAAUCAUCAGAACCAAUCUGAAAUUCAGAAUCAUUACCUGACUCACACUGUGCCCGUUUAACCUGUAACUUCUCAUCAUUCUUCUAAGCUUCACAUAUUUGCUGUAAAAAUGUCGGUUUAGCUCUCAAUUCAGCUAGGAUUGAACCAUCAUCAGUCAAUGAUAACCGGGUAUUCAUAGCUCGUAAAGUAAAUAGAUAUUUUUGGUUCAAAGCAUCAGCUACAACAUUAGCCUUACCCGGAUGGUAAUCAAUAAUCAAAUCAUAGUCCUUUAUCAGUUCAAGCCACCUGCGCUGUCUCAAAUUCAAAUCUUUCUGUGUCAUCAAAUAUUUCAAGCUUUUAUGAUCAGUAUAAAUAUGACAUUUCUCACCGUACAAGUAAUGCCGCCAUAUCUUCAGUGCAAAUACAAUAGCAGCUAAUUCAAGAUCAUGUACUGGGUAAUUUCUUUCAUGUGGUUUAAGUUGUCUUGAAGCAUAGGCUAUUACUUUACCUUCUUGCAUCAAAACACAACCUAAACCAUUUAAUGAGGCAUCACUGUAAAUAACAAAUUCCUUAUCCGGUUCAGGCUGCACUAAUACAGGUGCUUUCGUUAAUAGGUCUUUCAAUCGGUUGAAACUUUGUUGACAUUCAUCAGUCCACUUGAACUUUACAUCUUUCUGCAAUAAUCGAGUCAUUGGAGAAGCUAUCAUAGAGAAUCCCUGUACAAAUCUCCGAUAAUAACCAGGUAAACCCAAGAAACUUCUAACUUCAGAUACAUUCUUCGGUGGACUCCAAUUGACAAUAGCUGAGAUUUUACUUGGAUCUACCCUGAUGCCUUCGGCAGAUACAAUGUGUCCAAAAAAACCCAUUUCUCGAAGCCAAAAUUCACAUUUACUGAAUUUAGCAUAUAACUGCUUCUCUCGUAGAAUUUGCAACACAAUUCCCAAAUGUUCUGCAUGUUCUUCUUCAUUCCGAGAAUAAACCAAAAUAUCAUCAAUGAAUACUACUAAAAAUCUGUCUAAGUACGGUCUGAAUAUCCGGUUCAUCAAAUCCAUGAAUACUGCCGGUGCAUUAGUUAGCCCAAACGGCAUAACUAGAAACUCAUAAUGCCUGUACCUGGUUCUAAAGGCUAUUUUUGGCACAUCUGACUCCUUUACUCGUAACUGAUAAUAACCUGAUCGAAGAUCAAUCUUUGAAAACAUAGUAGCACAUUUCAGCUGAUCAAAUAAAUCAUCAAUCCGGGGUAACGGGUACUUAUUUUUUAUGGUUACUUUAUUAAGCUGCCGAUAGUCGAUACACAAUCUCAAAGACCCAUCUUUCUUUUUCACAAACAGAACCGGAGCACCCCAAGGUGAAUGACUCGGUCGGACAAAACCCCUGUCAACAAGUUCUUGCAACUGUGUCUUUAACUCUUUUAAUUCUAUAGGAGCCAUCCGGUACGGAGCUAUGGAGAUCGGAGUAGUUCUCAGAAUCAAAUCUAUAGAAAAUUCCACUUCUCUUUCUGGUGGCAAUCCUGGUAAUUCCUCUGGAAACACAUCGAAAAAUUCACAUACCACUGGAACUGCCUGUAUCUUUGACUCAGAUACCUUGGUGUCGAGUACAUAAGCCAAGUAAGCAUCAUACCCCUUUUUGACAUACCUAUGUACUGUCAUUACUGAAAUCAUAUCAGAUAACCCCUCUGUCUGAUCAGAUUUAACCCGGAGCAACUCACCAUUCUGACGUUUUAGCACAAUAUAUUUUUGUUUACAAUUUACUACCGCAUCAUGCUGGGUUAACCAAUCCAUACCCAAUAUCACGUCAAAUUCAUCAAAUGGCAGUAACAUCAAAUCAGCCGGGAAACAAUAACCUCUUACCAUCAGUAGACAAUUUUUACAAAUUUUAUCCACUAACACAGACUGGCCCAGGGGGUUCGAGACUUUAACCACAAAUUCAGUAGGUUCAACAGAUAAAUUUUUAACAAUUGCAAGUUUAACACAUAUAUAUGAAUGCGUAGAACCAGGAUCAAUCAAUGCAGUAAUAUCAGUAUCAAGUAAAGAAAAUGUACCAGUAAUAACAUCGGGUGCUGAAGCAUCUUUUAUGGCACGAAUGGCAUAUGUCCUAGCAGGUGCUCGUACCUCAGGCCUACCUAUAGUAUCUUUUGUAGCUCCUCGACUACCACUGACAUUACCGGAUGGUCGAGGUGGUCUGCCCCUCGAAACUAGAUUACUCGGCUUCGAUAUAUAUUCAACUUCUUUUUCAAUCAUUUCUGGACAAUCUCUGAGAAAAUGGUCAAAAGAACCACAUCGGUAACAAGCCCCACUCUUAAAUCGGCAUUCACCAAAAUGAGCUUUAUUACAGUACUGGCAUCUCGGUUUAGGAGUGCCAACACUGCCAACACUGGUCACUGAUGGAGUAGAAGGCCUUGGAUUAGUGCGUUGAGAACCUCGCUCUUUGCCCGAAUACCCAAUGGCUAAAGUAGAACGAUCCUGAUAUUUCUUCAAUUUCUUUGAAGCAGAAAACUGAGAUUUUCCCAACGGUCUUUUACUAAAAAUUCGAGCUUCCCUCUCAGCCUGUUUGUUUUCUUUGCUCAAUUCUUCUACUUUAUAAGCUCUCUCUGCCAAUGUAGCAAACUCUCGAAUUUCAAGAAUUCCGAUUAGUAACUUAAUGUCUUCAUUCAACCCUUUUUCGAAUCGUUUACACAUUUCAGCUUCUGACUGUACCCAUUCUCGAGCAUAUUUACUCAAUCAAACAAAUUCUCUUUCAUAUUCAGAUACUGAUCUGUUACCCUGUUUCAACUCAAGAAAUUCUUUUCUUUUCUGGUCAAGGAACCUCUGGCUGAUAUAUUUUUUUCUAAACUCGGUCUUAAAGAAUUCCUAUGAAAUUUCUUCUUUCGGAACAACUGAAGCUUUAGUAUUCCACCAAUGGUAAGCUGUGUCUUUUAGCAGUGAGAAGGCACAUUUCAGACAUUCUUCUGGUGUACAAGAUAAUUCCUCCAGAACCCGAGUAGUGUUUUCUAACCAGAAUUCAUCCCGUUCGGAAUCAUCAUCAACUGCUGCUCGAAAUUCUUCGGCCCUAUAUUUUUGAAUUUUAUCUACUGGAGCUUUCCCUUUUCUGACAGAUUCAGUACCUGUACCUUGUGAGAUCUCGGGAACCGGUGAAGGAGCAGGAGGGGGAGCUUGAACUUGCUGCACUACAGGGUUAGUUCUUAAGUAUUGAUUAAACCAUUCAUUCAUCAUUUGAAAGAAGGCUGUUUUUGCCUCCUCCCCUCGACCCUCUGUCUCGGGCCUUCUACUGCUAGUUUCUUCUCUUUGUACUAAAGCCGGAGCAUGACUCCCAGCUGCCUCAGAUUGAGCUCGGUCGGAUGACAUUACUAUAAGAAAACCACAUUUUAAAUGGUCAGGAGAUAUCAAACUAUCAAUAAUAAUUUAAAUGGCAUGUAUAGCUAAUCCCGUAUUUGCUACAUCGGUCCUAGAACCGGCUAAAUCGUAGCUCUGAUACCAAUAAAUGUAAUACCCUUGUAAUGGCCCAAAUUUGAGGUUAUCGGAACAGUGGUUUCGAGACCACAAAUCCGAUGAGAAAAAUUUUAUUUUUCUUAUAUUUUUAUGGUCUACAAUUUCACAAAAUGAUUUUUUGAAAAUUUCGUUCGAAAAUUUCGACGUUUGGGCACUCAAUUUAGUCAAAAGGACUAAAUUGUAAAAAGUGCAAAAGUUGAGUUCUACAUGUUAGAGGUGUCCAAUUGUUAUGAAACUUUAAAUUGGAGGUCCUUAUAUGGUAAUUAUACCAUUGGUAACUUGGUAGACAAAAAUGGACAUGAGAUAAGUGAAAUAGAAAAUUUUUAAGUUAGGGGCAAUUUGGUAAUCUAGUAAUUAAAAUGAAUUAAAAGGGAAAAAGAUGGCAAAAAUCAUCAUCUUCUUCAUAUGAACGAAAUCAGCAAGGGGGGUAGCCAUAGUUAGGGUUUUCAAGCUUCCAAGCUCCAUAGUAAGUGAUCCCAAGCCCCGUUUUUAAUGUUCUUUACGUUUUUGAGAUCCCGGUAGUUUAAUUUAGCUUAUUCUAGCAAUAAUUUAACCUAGGGUUUAUAUUUGGAAAAAUACCCAUAGGUGAAAAGUGUUUAUUUUGAUGUUUUAUGAUUGAAUAUGAAGCUAUAAAUUAUGUUAAACAACUUUUGCUAAGCGAUUUUAAGUGAAAACGAGUAAAACGACAUAAUUGGUAAAAAUACCUAAUGUUCAUAAGUACAUGUUAGAGUGGGAAUUUGAUGUUGCCAUAGAAGGGAAAAAUGUUCAGAAUGUUAUAAAACAUAAGAAUAAGAGAUGAAGUUUAAUUUCCGAGCCUUGGGGAAAAAAUGUAAUUAUGUAAAAGUUUAGGGGCAAAAUUGUAAUUUUGAAAAAGUUAGAGUCGAGGGCUGUUUUAAUGAAUGUGAUUAUUAAAUAAGUUAAAUUUACUAUUUUAGAUCAAGAAGUACGAAACUCGAGGUUAGACAAAGGGAAGAAUAAAGUUGAAGACUAAGUUGGUGAAUUUGGCUAUAAUUGGUACCGAGGUAAGUUUACGGUAAAUAAAUGCAAUAUUUCAAUAUUUAUUAUUAAUGCUGUUAAUUUCCAGCAAUUAUGAAUUUAUUUUAUGAAUUUAUUUGAUGAUGAUCCAAGCAUGAAAUGAUAGAGAAUUAAAAUUUAAAAGUCCCGUUGAUACAUAAGGAUGGUACUGGAUACGAAUGUCAUGACAUUUGGGUAAAGACAUCCCAUGUAAGACCAUGUCUGGGACAUGGCAUUGGCAUCCUUAAGAUCAUGAGAGGUCCCCUGUAAGACCAUGUCUGGGACAUGGCAUGGGCACCGAGACGAGAGGUCCCAUGUAAGACCAUGUCUGGGACAUGGCGUUGGCACCGAGAUGAGAGGUCCCCUAUAAGACCAUGUCUGGGACAUGGCAUGGGCACCAUCACGAGAACAUCCCAUGUAAGACCAUGUCUGGGACAUGGCUUUGGCAUGUUAUUAUCAGAAGAGACCCGAGUAUCCUUAUUAUUCCAAUGUAGCUCAACGGGCUUGUAAACGAAUCAUGUUCAUGAAAGUUCAGUUUAAAGCAUAAAUGGCAAGCUCAGGUAAGUUGUAAGACAUAAGAACUUAUUAUAAUAUCAAUUGAUGUUCAACGAUGCAGCAAGGAUUGAGUAAGUUAUGCACACAAAUAUUCUAAGUAAACAAGUAAGAGAACUAGUAUGAGAUUAACUAAAGAGUAAACUAGAGAUAUAGACAUUGAAUUUAAUUAUUUAAGUUAAAUAUUGUUAUUUAUUUGCUAGUAAACUUACUAAGCUUUAUGCUUACUUAUUUUAUUUCUCUUUCUCUUAUAGUAUUGCAAAGCUACUUCAAGGAUCCUAAAGAAGUCGGAGAUCGUCCACACUAUCAACUACAACUGCUCGGUAUUUUAUAUCGAAACACGUUUGAGUUAUGGCAUGUAUAGGGAUUUAGUUAUUUUGUAUGUUUGUAAUGAUGAUUUUGCUAAUGAGUGAUGUGUAAGUAUUUGAUGAUGUAUGGUUAUUAAAAUGGUUAAGGAUGAAGGUGUUUGUUGUUAUGAAAGAUUAGGUGAUAAAUUAUGCAUGGAAAUCAUGAAAGGAUAAAAUUUUGCAAAGAAACAGAAUUCAGGCAGCACAGUGACGUGAAUUUGAAAAAUCACCCAAGAUAGUAUAAAAUGAAUUAGAGGGUGAAUGAUAUAUGGAAUUAAAUAUUGUUGAGUCUAUUUUCAUGGAAAAAUAACGGUGUAGAAAAAGGAAAUUUAUAUUUUAAGAUAUGUGAAUUUUAGUAAGAUAGGGUCAGAACUGUUUUUGGAGUCCCCUGUUCUGAGUUUAGAAAAUAAUUACAAAUUGUACAAAAAUGGUUAUGAGUUGAAAUUUACAUGCUUAGAUUCCUUAAUGAGUCUAUUUUCUGUAGAAACAAGUAAGAACUUCAUAUGAAAAUCCUACAGUGAGAAAACUUAUUUUAGUGACUAGAGGUCAGGGCAGUCAGGUGGUGAAACAGGGGAGACUUUAACUAAUAAACUGUACUAAUUUGCUGAACCAAAAAUUCUAAAAAUUUUAUGGUGAGUAGAUAUAUGAGUCUAGUUUCAGGGAAAAUUUACGGAAUUAAAUUUCGAGUUCUGUAGCUCAAGUUAUAAUUAAUUUAGUAACUGCUGCGCGAUUGGACAGAUUUGCUGCGAAUAAUGAAAUAAAUUUUCAAACCUAGUUUUUAUGCUCCGAAUUGGUAAGAUAAGCUAAGUAAAGCCUCGUGCUCGACUCCGGAAACGGUAUCGGGUAAGGGGUGUUACAUUUUAUUUGUAUCAGAGCAGGUUUAGUCGGUUCUCGGAAAUACUCAGUAAGAAUAAGAGUCUACCUAUACAUGCCAUACUUAUAUAUUUUGAUAGUGUGACGACUCCUGGCGAUUUUAAAAUGUUUUCUUUUAUAGUUAUGGAUCCUGAACGAGCUAGUACAGAUGAAGUAGAGAGUAAUGCACCUAUUCCCGCAGAAGGGACGGUGCCAUCAGAUGUUAAUGUUAGUGAAAGACCUGCAUCAGAUAGACAGGGAGGAGGAGCUAGAGAAGCCUUCUUCCAAGCCAUGACUGAUUGGUUUGCCGAGUUCGUUCGUACGAAUCCGGCUGUAAGACCUCCACCCCCUCAAGAUUCACAGGUUCCCCAUGUAGCUUCCCCAGCUGCAGGUAUAUUUAUCAGGGAGAGACCACCUGUUGAUAAGAUUAGGAAGCAAGGGGCUGAAGAAUUUUGGGCUACCAAAGAUGACGAUGCAGAAAAAGCAGAAUUCUGGCUUGAGAAUACCAUCAGGGUUUUUGAAGAAUUAUCUUGUACACCAGAAGAAUGUAUGAAGUGUGUGGUCUCACUUCUCAGAGAUUCCGCUUAUCAUUGGUGGAAGACUCUCGUGUCUAUCGUACCGAGUGAGAGGGUUACUUGGGAUUUCUUUCAGGAGGAGUUUCGAAAGAAGUACAUCAGCCAGAGAUUUACAGAGCAGAAAAGGAAGGAGUUUCUUGAGCUAAAACAAGGUAAGAUGUCCGUGACUUAAUAUGAACGCGAAUUUGUCAGACUUAGUAAGUAUGCUCGGGAAUUUGUAUCCACCGAAGCCAACAUGUGCAAGAGAUUUGAAGAUGGGCUUAAUGAUGACAUCCGACUAUCAGUGGGUGUAUUGGAAAUCAGAGAGUUUGUUGUUCUGGUAGAAAGAGCUUGUAAAGUAGAAGACUUGUUAAAAGAAAAAGAGAAGAGCAAAGCUGAAGCUGGAGCGCAGGAUACAAAGAAGAGGCAAAUGAGUAAAUCAUUUCAGUCUACAUCUAAGAGGCCUAGGGAGCUCUCUAGCGGAUCACAUUUUCCACAUAUAUAUUCUGGCCGAAGCAGAAGUAGAAGAUUCGAGGGUUUUAGAGCUCAAACCACUACAGUUGCAAGUACUGGCAGUACUCGACCUCCUAGACCGGAAUGUCCUCAAUGUGGGAGACGCCACCUCGGAGAGUGUAGAGCAGGUGAAAAUGUUUGUUUCAGAUGUGGAGCAUCCGAUCACUUUAUUCGGGAUUGUCCUGAAACAACUAAAAGAGAAGAAAUAACGAGUGCGAGAUCAGGUAAUGCUCCUACCAGAGGUAGACCGCAGAGAAACUCAGGAGUGGGGGCAAGUAAUAGGGGUGCAUUCAAAGAUUCAGCGGUUAGAUCAGAUGUUAGAGCACCUGCAAGAUCAUAUGCUAUUCGAGCUCGUGAAGAGGCGUCCUCUCCUGAUGUAAUUGCGGGUACAUUUUCUCUCUAUGAUACUACUGUUAUUGCAUUAAUUGAUCCUGGCUCUACACAUUCAUAUAUAUGCACAAAAUUAGCAUUUGUUAAAAAUUUGUCUGUUGAACCUACUGAAUUUAUGGUUAAAGUCUCGAACCCCUUGGGCCAGUUUGUGAUAGUGGAUAAAGUUUGUAAAAAUUGUCCACUGAUGGUAAAAGGUAUUUGUUUCCCGGUUGACUUGAUGUUAUUGCCUUUUGAUGAGUUUGAUGUGAUAUUGGGCAUGGAUUGGUUAACUCAGCAUGAUGCAGUAGUAAACUGUAGACAAAAAUAUGUUGUGUUGAAAUGCCAGAAUGGAGAAUUACUUUGGGUUAAAUCUAAUCAGACAAAGGGAUUAUCCGAUAUGAUUUCAGUUAUGACAGCUCAGAGGUGUGUUAGAAAAGGGUAUGAUGUUUAUUUGGCGAAUGUGUUGGAUACUAAGGUAUCUGAGUCAAAGAUACAGGCAGUGCCAGUUGUAUGUGAAUUUUCUGAUGUAUUUCCAGAGGAGUUACCAGGGUUGCCACCAGAAAGAGAAGUGGAAUUUUCUAUAGAUCUGAUUCCGGGAACUGCCCCAAUUUCCAUAGCUCCGUAUCGUAUGGCUCCUACAGAAUUAAAAGAGUUAAAGGCACAGUUACAGGAACUUGUUGGCAGAGGUUUUGUUCGUCCGAGUCAUUCACCUUGGGGUGCUCCAGUUCUGUUUGUGAAAAAGAAAGACGGGUCUUUGAGAUUGUGUAUUGACUAUCGGCAGCUUAAUAAGGUAACUAUAAAGAAUAAGUACCCAUUGCCUCGAAUUGAUGACUUAUUUGAUCAACUGAAAGGUGCCACAGUAUUUUCAAAGAUUGAUCUCCGAUCGGGUUAUUAUCAGUUACGGGUAAAAGAGCCAGAUGUGCCAAAGACAGCUUUCAGAACCAGGUAUGGGCAUUAUGAGUUUCUGGUUAUGCCGUUUGGGUUGACUAAUGCACCUGCAGUAUUCAUGGAUUUGAUGAACCGGAUAUUUAGACCGUAUCUAGAUAGGUUUGUAGUAGUUUUUAUUGAUGACAUUUUAGUUUAUUCUCGGGAUGAAACUGAGCAUGCAGAACAUUUGAAAAUAGUGUUGCAAAUUCUGCGUGAAAAGAAACUUUAUGCUAAAUUCAGUAAAUGUGAAUUUUUGCUUCGAGAGGUAGGUUUUCUCGGACAUAUUGUAUCGCAAGAAGGCAUCAGGGUAGAUCCGAGUAAAAUUUCAGCUAUUGUCAAUUGGAGUCCACCGAAGAAUGUAUCUGAAGUUAGAAGUUUCUUGGGUUUAGCUGGUUAUUAUCAGAGAUUUGUACAAGGGUUUUAUAUGAUAGCUUCUCCAAUGACCCGUUUAUUACAGAAAGAUGUUAAAUUUGAAUGGACAGAAAAAUGCCAACAAAGUUUCAACCGAUUGAAGGAGUUGUUAACGAAAGCACCUGUGUUGGUACAGCCUGAAUCGGGUAAGGAAUUUAUUAUUUAUAGUGAUGCAUCAUUAAAUGGUUUGGGUUGUGUCUUGAUGCAAGAAGAUAAAGUAAUAGCCUAUGCUUCAAGACAACUUAAGCCACAUGAAAGAAACUACCCGGUAAAUGAUCUCGAGUUAGCUGCUAUUGUAUUUGCAUUGAAAAUAUGGCGGCAUUAUUUGUAUGGUGAAAAGUGUCAUAUUUAUACUGAUCACAAAAGCUUGAAAUAUUUGAUGACACAGAAAUAUUUGAAUUUGAGACAACGCAGGUGGCUUGAAUUGAUAAAGGAUUAUGAUUUGGUUAUUGAUUACCAUCCGGGAGGUAAUAAAAUGUAGAAUGACUUGAAAAAGAUGUAUUGGUGGCCGAGUAUGAAACGUGAUAUCUCUGAGUUUGUAUCAAGAUGUUUAGUAUGUCAGCAGGUUAAGGCUGAACAUCAGGUACCUUCGGGGUUGCUUCAGCCAAUCACUAUACCGGAAUGGAAAUGGGAAAGAAUCACUAUGGAUUUUGUAUCUGGGUUACCGUUAUCUCCGAGGAAGAAAGAUGCCAUUUGGGUAAUUGUCGACCGAUUGACAAAGUCCGCGCACUUUAUCCCAGUAUGUAUGGAUUAUUCUUUAGAUAAAUUGGCUAGAUUGUAUAUAUCUGAGAUUGUUAGACUACAUGGAGUGCCUGUCUCCAUUAUAUCAGACAGAGAUCCCCGAUUUACGUCUCGUUUCUGGAACAAAUUGCAAGAAGCUUUGGGUACUCAGUUGUAUUUCAGUACUGCAUUUCAUCCUCAGACAGAUGGCCAAUCUGAGCGUGUAAUUCAGGUAUUGGAAGAUAUGCUCCGAUGUUGUGCAUUAGAGUUUCAAGGUAAUUGGGAAAGGUAUCUACCUUUGAUUGAAUUUGCUUAUAAUAACAGUUAUCAGUCCAGUAUUAAAAUGGCUCCGUAUGAAGCUUUGUAUGGUAGAAAAUGUAGAACACCAUUAUAUUGGACAGAGCUCAGUGAAAAGAAGAUACACGGGGUUGAUUUGAUUCGGAAAACAGAAGAAAAAGUAAGACUGAUUCGGGAUAGUUUAAAAGCAGCUUCCGAUCGUCAAAAGUCAUACGCCGAUCUUAAACGAAGGGAGAUUGAAUUUCAGGUGGGUGAUAAAGUAUUCUUAAAAGUGUCUCCUUGGAAGAAAGUUCUCCGGUUCGGUCGAAAGGGUAAAUUGAGUCCAAGAUUUAUCGGACCAUAUGAGAUUAUAGAAAGAAUUGGACCAGUUGCUUACCGAUUGGCUUUACCACCUGAACUCGACAAAAUUCAUAAUGUAUUUCAUGUAUCUAUGCUACGACGGUAUCGAUCGGAUCCUUCACAUGUUAUUACUCCAACAGAAGUAGAAAUUCAGCCGGAUAUGACUUAUAAUGAAGAACCGGUUAAAGUAUUAGCACGAGAAACAAAGGAGCUUAGAAACAAAAAGGUAAAUCUGGUGAAAGUGCUAUGGCAAAAGCACGGGAUUGAGGAAGCAACAUGGGAACCGGAAGAGACAAUGAGGAAGCAAUACCCAAAUCUCUUUACUGGUAAGAUUUUCGAGGACGAAAAUCCUAAACAGGGGGGAGAGUUGUAAUGGCCCAAAUUUGAGGUUAUCGGAACAGUGGUUUCGAGACCACAAAUCCGAUGAGAAAAAUUUUAUUUUUCUUAUAUUUUUAUGGUCUACAAUUUCACAAAAUGAUUUUUUGAAAAUUUCGUUCGAAAAUUUCGACGUUUGGGCACACAAUUUAGUCAAAAGGACUAAAUUGUAAAAAGUGCAAAAGUUGAGUUCUACAUGUUAGAGGUGUCCAAUUGUUAUGAAACUUCAAAUUGGAGGUCCUUAUAUGGUAAUUAUACCAUUGGUAACUUGGUAGACAAAAAUGGACAUGAGAUAAGUGAAAUAGAAAAUUUUUAAGUUAGGGGCAAUUUGGUAAUCUAGUAAUUAAAAUGAAUUAAAAGGGAAAAAGAUGGCAAAAAUCAUCAUCUUCUUCAUAUGAAUGAAAUCAGCAAGGGGGGAAGCCAUAGUUAGGGUUUUCAAGCUUCCAAGCUCCAUAGUAAGUGAUCCCAAGCCCCGUUUUUAAUGUUAUUUACAUUUUUGAGAUUCCGGUAGCUUAAUUUAGCUUAUUCUAGCAAUAAUUUAACCUAGGGUUUAUAUUUGGAAAAAUACCCAUAGGUGAAAAGUGUUUAUUUUGAUGUUUUAUGAUAGAAUAUGAAGCUAGAAAUUAUGUUAAACAACUUUUGCUAAGCGAUUUUAAGUGAAAACGAGUAAAACGACAUAAUCGGUAAAAAUACCUAAUGUUCAUAAGUACAUGUUAGAGUGGGAAUUUGAUGUUGCCAUAGAAGGGAAAAAUGUUCAGAAUGUUAUAAAACAUAAGAAUAAGAGAUGAAGUUUAAUUUCUGAGCCUUGGGGCAAAAAUGUAAUUAUGUAAAAGUUUAGGGGCAAAAUUGUAAUUUUGAAAAAGUUAGAGUCGAGGGCUGUUUUAAUGAAUGUGAUUAUUAAAUAAGUUAAAUUUACUAUUUUAGAUCAAGAAGUACGAAACUCGAGGUUAGACAAAGGGAAGAAUAAAGUUGAAGACUAAGUUGGUGAAUUUAGCUAUAAUUGGUAUCGAGGUAAGUUUACGGUAAAUAAAUGCAAUAUUUCAAUAUUUAUUAUUAAUGCUGUUAAUUUCCAGCAAUUAUGAAUUUAUUUUAUGAAUUUAUUUGAUGAUGAUCCAAGCAUGAAAUGAUAGAGAAUUAAAAUUUAAAAGUCCCGUUGAUACAUAAGGAUGGUACUGGAUACGAAUGUCAUGACAUUUGGGUAAAGACAUCCCAUGUAAGACCAUGUCUGGGACAUGGCAUUGGCAUCCUUAAGAUCAUGAGAGGUCCCCUGUAAGACCAUGUCUGGGACAUGGCAUGGGCACCGAGACGAGAGGUCCCAUGUAAGACCAUGUCUGGGACAUGGCGUUGGCACCGAGAUGAGAGGUCCCCUAUAAGACCAUGUCUAGGACAUGGCAUGGGCACCAUCACGAGAACAUCCCAUGUAAGACCAUGUCUGGGACAUGGCUUUGGCAUGUUAUUAUCAGAAGAGACCCGAGUAUCCUUAUUAUUCCAAUGUAGCUCAACGGGCUUGUAAACGAAUCAUGUUCAUGAAAGUUCAGUUUAAAGCAUAAAUGGCAAGCUCAGGUAAGUUGUAAGACAUAAGAACUUAUUAUACUAUCAAUUGAUGUUCAACGAUGCAGCAAGGAUUGAGUAAGUUAUGCACACAAGUAUUCUAAGUAAACAAGUAAGAGAACUAGUAUGAGAUUAACUAAAGAGUAAACUAGAGAUAUAGACAUUGAAUUUAAUUAUUUAAGUUAAAUAUUGUUAUUUAUUUGCUAGUAAACUUACUACGCUUUAUGCUUACUUAUUUUAUUUCUCUUUCUCUUAUAGUAUUGCAAAGCUACUUCAAGGAUCCUAAAGAAGUCGGAGAUCGUCCACACUAUCAACUACAACUGCUCGGUAUUUUAUAUCGAAACACGUUUGAGUUAUGGCAUGUAUAGGGAUUUAGUUAUUUUGUAUGUUUGUAAUGAUGAUUUUGCUAAUGAGUGAUGUGUAAGUAUUUGAUGAUGUAUGGUUAUUAAAAUGGUUAAGGAUGAAGGUGUUUGUUGUUAUGAAAGAUUAGGUGAUAAAUUAUGCAUGGAAAUCAUGAAAGGAUAAAAUUUUGCAAAGAAACAGAAUUCAGGCAGCACAGUGACGUGAAUUUAAAAAAUCACCCAAGAUAGUAUAAAAUGAAUUAGAGGGUGAAUGAUAUAUGGAAUUAAAUAUUGUUGAGUCUAUUUUCAUGGAAAAAUAAUGGUGUAGAAAAAGGAAAUUUAUAUUUUAAGAUAUGUGAAUUUUAGUAAGAUAGGGUCAGAACUGUUUUUGGAGUCCCCUGUUCUGAGUUUAGAAAAUAAUUACAAAUUGUACAAAAAUGGUUAUGAGUUGAAAUUUACAUGCUUAGAUUCCUUAAUGAGUCUAUUUUCUGUAGAAACAAGUAAGAACUUCAUAUGAAAAUCCUACAGUGAGAAAACUUAUUUUAGUGACUAGAGGUCAGGGCAGUCAGGUGGUGAAACAGGGGAGAAUUUAACUAAUAAACUGUACUAAUUUGCUGAACCAAAAAUUCUAAAAAUUUUAUGGUGAGUAUAUAUAUGAGUCUAGUUUCAGGGAAAAUUUACGGAAUUAAAUUUCGAGUUUUGUAGCUCAAGUUAUAAUUAAUUUAGUAACUGCUGCGCGAUUGGACAGAUUUGCUGCGAAUAAUGAAAUAAAUUUUCAAACCUAGUUUUUAUGCUCCGAAUUGGUAAGAUAAGCUAAGUAAUGCCUCGUGCUAGACUCCGAAAACGGUCUCGGGUAAGGGGUGUUACAACUCCUACCCGUAUUCAUUUCCGGAAUAGGGUACGAGGCAUUACCGGAGUUUACGAAUUAAAUUUUUAUUUAUUUUCUAUUCAAUAUAGCCAUUUUAUAAAUAUCUAACCUUCCCUGUAAUAUUAAAUCGAGACCAAUCCACAUCAACCAAAUCAAUUCAACAUAUUUUCAUGAUAGAUUCAUGCAUUUAUAUAAGAUAACGUCAUCUCAUAUCUAUAACCAGGUUUGUUAACCAUACUAAUGGCUAACUUUGCAUUCAUUUCACGUUAACAUUUACUUUGUUAGCUUGUACAUGCCAUUGAUUUCUAAAAUAAAGUUUCUUUAUAUACCGAAAUCCUGAGGUUGACAGUGUGAUGUGUCUCCGACCAAAUCCGACCUCCGAGCUCUUAACACUACAAAACAGGGAAAAAGGAAACGGGGUAAGCACUUUGUGCUUAGUAAGCUCAUGUAACAAGAAUUAUACUUACCUAAUAUUUUCAAUACAAUAUAAUAAACAUUCAUAUAUCCAUUCAAUGCAUUAUUACCCUAACAUGCACAAACUCAACAUUCAAGUUAGUACAAUAAUUUCCAAGUAUCAAUAAUAUAUAUACCAUGAUUGAUGAGCUCGUCAAUACCAUGAUUUCCAUUUCCUUGCUAUUUUUCCAUAUUUAUCCCGUUGAAUUUAUCGGAAUUUCGAUGGAUUUUCAGAGGUACACAUUUAUUGUACAAUUCUGGGUCCGUCAAUUCAUAUUCAUGUGCGCACAUAUCCAUUUCAGAGAGCACACUCCCGCGAACCUCAACCUUGCAGCGGGAUUACUAGUCCAGGCUAAAUCCCCUGCAAUAUAAACUCAUAGAGUAUUGUCGGGAUUACCAGUCCAGGCUAAAUCCCCUGCAACGACAAUUACUCUAAUGAGCUUGGAUCUGAAUUACCAGUCCAGGCUAAAUUCAGACCCUAAUUCGGAUUACCCGUCCGGGCUAAAUCCAUUUUACGCAUAUUCUUCGGGAGGGCUAUAUCAGGAUAGGAUCACCCGUCCGGGCUAGAUCCUUUUUGCCGUCAAUUCCUUUUCAGAGAUCCAUCGAAUUUUCCUUUCAUUCAAACGGGAUUUCUUCCCAUUUUAUCAAAUAUAUAAAUGUUUCAUAAAUUUCCAUAUAAUGAACAUUCAAAUCAUAUUCACAUCAAUAACAUAUAAUCUCAAGCAUUUCAGAAUAUAAUUCAAGUUACACGAACUUACCUUGAUACUUGUUUGUAAACAGUAAAAAUAUACUAAUCCCGAACUUUUUCCUUUCCUCGAUCUAGCUUCGUAUUUGAAUCUUCCGGAUCUAAAUAAAUAAACUUAAUUAUUAAUUUAAUAUAUUUCAUGUUCAUAUGCAACAUUCUCUAUAAUUCAACUAUUAUUUAUAGUUCAUUCAAAGCUGUCUACUUGAGUCAUAGUCACUAAAUUAUUUAUAACUUGAGCUAAGGAACUCCAAAUUAAGAUUCGUUAAUUUUCCAUGAAACUAGACUCAUAUAUAUUUUUACCAUAAAAUUUUCAAAAUUUUUGGUUUAGCCAAUCAGUACAGUUUAUUCUUCAAAGUCACCCCUGUUCUGUUGUCUAACAGUUCUGACCCUUCUUCACUAAAAAUAAAUUAUCUCUUUAUACAGAAUUAAAAUGAUGUUAUCAUUUAUUUAUAUUAAAAAUAGACUCAUUCAGAAUUCUAUACAUAUAAAUUUAAGCCCAUAAUUGUUUUUAUUAAAUUUUUUAUGAUUUUUCAAAGUCAAAACAGGGGAACCCAAAUUCAUUCUGACCUUGUCUCACAAAAUUCAUUAUAUCUCAAAAUUUACAAAUCCAUUGCUUACAAUAUUUCUUCUAUGAGAAACUAGACUCAAUAAGCUUUAAUUGCAUAUUUUUUUCAUCUUCUAAUUCGAUUCUUAAAAUUUUUGGUGAUUUUUCAAAGUUAGUCUACUGCUGCUGUCCAAACUGUUUUAGUGCAAGCUGUUUAUUACCAUUUUUCCCCUAAGCUUUUAAUAAAUGAUAAUUUCGUCCCUACUCAAUUAGCCUCUCAAUUGAGCUGAUUUUUCUCUAUUAACAUUUUAUUCUAUCACUUUAAACUAGUUUACAACCUUUAGGAAUCAUAAUUUCAGCAAUAGACUUUAAUUCUAAACAUUUUCACAAUUAGGUCCUAAAAAUCAAUUUCCAUUGAAAUUGCCUAAUAAAAUCAUCUCAUAAACAAAUUAGAUCUUUAAUUUCAUUCUAUUUCAUCAUAAACUUACAGCACUCAACCAUGGUGACUUUCAAUUUCAUCCAUGAAAUCAAAAACUAAUGAAUUUAAUAGUAGGACCUAGUUGUAAAAGUCUUAGAAACACACAAAUUACAAGAAAAAGGCAAGGAUUAACUCACUUGGUGCAAAAAUUAUGAAAUACCAGCUUAGAGAACCCACCUAUGGCGUUUUUAGCUGCUGGAAUUGAAGAGAAAUGAAGAGAAAUCUAGAUAUUUCCUAUUUAGUCCUAGUUUUAUUUAGUUAAUUUUGCAAUAUUCCAAUUUUACCCUUAAUUUAUCAAUUUUUCUGCUGAUUUCAUACCCUUUCCGUCCAGCCCAAAUAAAUUUGGGUCUAAUUUCCUUUUAAAUCCGUUCUCAUUAGACUCUUAAGCUAUUUAAUCACUCUUGCAACUUUUACACCUAUUACAAUUUAGUCCUUUUCAUUUAAUUAACUACCCAAACAUUAAAAUUUCCUAACGAAAUUUUAAUACCACAUUAAUAACAUUUCAUAAAUAUUUAUAAAAUUAUUUUCGACUUGGUUUUAUGAGAUAGAGGUCCCGAUACCUUAUUUUACCCAAUUUCUUCAACAAUUUCUUCAAUAAUUUCUUUUUCUAACUAAUCACUAAAUCGAUAAAAUUUUCCUAUCAAUAUUUUCAUACAAUUUUCCUAUCAUAUCAAUUUUCAAGAAAAAAUAUUGAAAUAAAUUUCUCUUUAAAUCAGAUCUAUAGUUACGAAACCAUUGUUCCGAUAACCUUGAAUUUAGGCCAUUACAACUCUCCCCCCUUUUAAGGAUUUUCGUCCUCGAAAAUGUUACCAGUAAAGAGGUUUGGGUAUUGUUUCCUCAUUGCCUCCUCCGGUUCCCAUGUUGCUUCCUCAAUCCUGUGCUUUUGCCACAAUACUUUCACCAAAUUUAUCUUUUUAUUUCUAAGCUCUUUUGUCUCCCGUGCCAAUUUCUUGACCGGUUCUUCACUGUAAGUCAUAUCCGGUUCAAUCUCUACUUCUAUCGGAGAAAUAACAUGUGAAGGAUCUGAUUGAUAUCGUCGUAACAUAGAUACAUGAAACAUUAUGGAUUCUAUCAAGUUCCGGUGGUAAUGUCAAUCGAUAAGCGACCGGUCCAAUUCUUUCUAUGAUUUCAUAGGGCCCGAUAAAUCUUGGACUCAAUUUACCCUUUCGACCGAAUCGAAGAACUUUCUUCCAAGGAGACACUUUCAGAAAUACCUUGUCACCGACUUGAAAUUCAAUCUCAUUUCGCUUAAGGUCGGCAUAUGAUUUUUGACGAUCGGAAGUUACUUUUAGACUAUCUCGAAUAACCUUUACUUUUUCUUUUGUUUCUCGGAUCAAAUCAACCCCAUGUAUCUUCCUUUCACUGAGCUCUGUCCAAUAUAACGGUGUUCUACAUUUUCUACCAUACAAAGCUUCAUACGGAGCCAUUUUAAUACUAGACUGAUAACUGUUAUUGUAAGCAAAUUCAAUCAAAGGUAGAUACCUCUCCCAAUUACCUUCAAACUCUAGUAUACAACAUCGGAGCAUAUCUUCCAAUACUUGAAUUACACGCUGAGAUUGACCAUCUGUCUGAGGAUGAAAUGCAGUGCUGAAAUACAACUGAGUACCCAAGGCUUCUUACAAUUUGUCCCAGAAACGAGACGUAAAUCGGGGAUCUCUAUCUGAUAUAAUGGAGACAGGCACUCCAUGUAACUGACAAUCUCAGAUAUGUACAGUUCAGCUAGUUUAUCUAAAGAAUAAUCCAUACGUACCGGAAUAAAGUGAGCUGACUUUGUUAAUCGAUCAACAAUCACCCAAAUAGCAUCUUUUUUCCUUGGAGACAAAGGUAGCCCCGAUACAAAAUCUAUAGUGAUUCUUUCCCAUUUCCAUUCCGAUAUAGUAAUUGGCUGAAGUAACCCCGAAGGUACCUGAUGUUCAACUUUAACUUGUUGACAUAUUAAACACCUUGAUACAAACUCAGAGAUAUCACGUUUCAUUCCCGACCACCAGUACAUCUUUUUCAGAUCAUUAUACAUUUUACUACUCCCCGGAUGUAUAGACAUAGUACUACUAUGGGCCCCGCGUAGAAUCUUCUGUAUGAGCUCUGAAUUCUGAGGUACACAUACCCUACCUCUGAAUAAUAAACAAUCAUCAGAACCAAUCUGAAAUUCAGAAUCAUUACCUGACUCACACUGUGCCCGUUUAACCUGUAACUUCUCAUCAUUCUUCUGAGCUUCACAUAUUUGCUGUAAAAAUGUCGGUUUAGCUUUCAAUUCAGCUAGGAUUGAACCAUCAUCAGUCAAUGAUAACCGGGUAUUCAUAGCUCGUAAAGCAAACAGAUAUUUUCGGUUCAAAGCAUCAGCUACAACAUUAGCCUUACCCGGAUGGUAAUCAAUAAUCAAAUCAUAGUCCUUUAUCAGUUCAAGCCACCUGCGCUGUCUCAAAUUCAAAUCUUUCUGUGUCAUCAAAUAUUUCAAGCUUUUAUGAUCAGUAUAAAUAUGACAUUUCUCACCGUACAAGUAAUGCCGCCAUAUCUUCAGUGCAAAUACAAUAGCAGCUAAUUCAAGAUCAUGUACUGGGUAAUUUCUUUCAUGUGGUUUAAGUUGUCUUGAAGCAUAGGCUAUUACUUUACCUUCUUGCAUCAAAACACAACCUAAACCAUUUAAUGAGGCAUCACUGUAAAUAACAAAUUCCUUAUCCGGUUCAGGCUGCACUAAUACAGGUGCUUUCGUUAAUAGGUCUUUCAAUCGGUUGAAACUUUGUUGACAUUCAUCAGUCCACUCGAACUUUACAUCUUUCUACAAUAAUCGAGUCAUUGGAGAAGCUAUCAUAGAGAAUCCCUGUACAAAUCUCCGAUAAUAACCAGCUAAACCCAAGAAACUUCUAACUUCAGAUACAUUCUUCGGUGGACUCCAAUUGACAAUAGCUAAGAUUUUACUUGGAUCUACCCUGAUGCCUUCGGCAGAUACAAUGUGUCCAAAAAAACCCAUUUCUCGAAGCCAAAAUUCACAUUUACUGAAUUUAGCAUAUAAAUGCUUCUCUCGUAGAAUUUGCAACACAAUUCUCAAAUGUUCUACAUGUUCUUCUUCAUCCCGAGAAUAAACCAAAAUAUCAUCAAUGAAUACUACUACAAAUCUGUCUAAGUACGGUCUGAAUAUCUGGUUCAUCAAAUCCAUGAAUACUGCAGGUGCAUUAGUUAGCCCAAACGGGAUAACUAGAAACUCAUAAUGCCCGUACCUGGUUCUAAAGGCUGUUUUUGGCACAUCUGACUCCUUUACCCAUAACUGAUAAUAACCUGAUCGAAGAUCAAUCUUUGAAAACAUAGUAGCACCUUUCAGUUGAUCAAAUAAAUCAUCAAUCCGGGGUAACGGGUACUUAUUCUUUAUGGUUACUUUAUUAAGCUGCCGGUAGUCAAUACACAAUCUCAAAGACCCAUCUUUCUUUUUCACAAACAGAACCGGAGCACCCCAAGGUGAAUGACUCGGUCGGACAAAACCCCUGUCAACAAGUUCUUGCAACUGUGUCUUUAACUCUUUUAAUUUUAUAGGAGCCAUCCGGUACGGAGCUUUAGAGAUCGGAGUAGUUCCCGGAAUCAAAUCUAUAGAAAAUUCCACUUCUCUUUCUGGUGGCAAUCCUGGUAAUUUCUCUGGAAACACAUCGAAAAAUUCACAUACCACUGGAACUGCCUGUAUCUUUGACUCAGAUACAUUGGUGUCGAGUACAUAAGCCAAGUAAGCAUCAUACCCCUUUUUGACAUACCUCUGUGCUGCCAUUACUGAAAUCAUAUCAGAUAACCCCUCUGUCUGAUCAGAUUUAACCCGGAGCAACUCACCAUUCUGACGUUUUAGCACAAUAUAUUUUUUUUUACAAUUUACUACCGCAUCAUGCUGGGUUAACCAAUCCAUACCCAAUAUCACGUCAAAUUCAUCAAAUGGCAGUAACAUCAAAUCAGCAGGGAAACAAUAACCUCUUACCAUCAGUGGACAAUUUUUACAAAUUUUAUUCACUAACACAGACUGGCCCAGGGGGUUCGAGACUUUAACCAUAAAUUCAGUAGGUUCAACAGAUAAAUUUUUAACAAUUGCAAGUUUAACACAUAUAUAUGAAUGCGUAGAACCAGGAUCAAUCAAUGCAGUAAUAUCAGUAUCAAGUAAAGAAAAUGUACCAGUAAUAACAUCGGGUGUUGAAGCAUCUUCUAUGGCACGAAUGGCAUAUGUCCUAGCAGGUGCUCGUACCUCAGGCCUACCUAUAGUAUCUUUUGUAGCUCCUCGACUACCACUGACAUUACCGGAUGGUCGAGGUAGUCUGCCCCUCGAAACUAGAUUACUCGGCUUCGAUAUAUAUUCAACUUCUUUUUCAAUCCUUUCUGGACAAUCUCUGAGAAAAUGGUCAAAAGAACCACAUCGGUAACAAGCCCCACUCUUAAAUCGGCAUUCACCAAAAUGAGCUUUAUUACAGUACUGGCAUCUCGGUUUAGGAGUGCCAACACUGCAACACUGGUCAUUGAUGGAGUAGAAGGCCUUGGAUUAGUGCGUUGAGAACCUCGCUCUUUGCCCGAAUACCCAAUGGCUAAAGUAGAACGAUCCUGAUAUUUCUUCAAUUUCUUUGAAGCAGAAAACUGAGAUUUUCCCAUCGGUCUUUUACUAAAAAUUCGAGCUUCCCUCUCAGCCUGUUUGUUUUCUUUGCUCAAUUCUUCUACUUUAUAAGCUCUCUCUGCCAAUGUAGCAAACUCUCGAAUUUCAAGAAUUUCGAUCAGUAACUUAAUGUCUUCAUUCAACCCUUCUUCGAAUCGUUUACACAUUUCAGCUUCUGACUGUACUCAUUCUCGAGCAUAUUUACUCAAUCGAACUAAUUUCUUUCAUAUUCAGAUACUGAUCUGUUACCCUGUUUCAACUCAAGAAAUUCUUUUCUUUUCUGGUCAAUGAACCUCUGGCUGAUAUAUUUUUUACUAAACUCGGUCUGAAAGAACUCCCAUGUAAUUUCUUCUUUCGGAACAACUGAAGCUUUAGUAUAAGCUCUGACGGGGGCACGAGUCUAAGAUCGAACAGUCGUAUCGUAGUCCCUAUCUGAUUACCACCCCUGCCUCCUGCAUUUCUCAAUGGUCUACCUCUAGUUGUUGUACCACUCGACCUCCCACCUUGCAGUUUAUUUUUCUCGCCAGAUUCUAUGCAAUCUCGAACGAAAUGAUCCCGCGAACCGCAUCUAUAACAGGCUCUGUUAAUAGAUUUACCCCAACAUUCACCUACAUGUCGUCUUCUACACUGUGGACAUUCGGGUUUUUCUGGCCGAUUGUUGCCAACACUAGCAACCGAAGUAGCUCGAGAGUCCAUUGAUGGUCGCUCCUUAAUAGAAAUUCCUGCACUCGUCUUUGAUUUAUUAGUAUCGUCUCUGAACUUCUUUGCAGCCGAGAAAGAAGUUUUACCCAUCGAUCUUUUGCGAAAAUCUCUAGCUUCAGUUUCAGCUUUCUUUUUCUCCUUUCCAAGCUCUUCAGCCUUGCAAACUCGUUCAACCAGUAUUACAAAUUCUUUUAGUUCUAAAAUACCCACCAGUAGCUUUAAAUCUUCAUUCAAUCCCUCUUCAAAUCUUUUAUACAUGGUAACUUCAUCAGCUACACACUCCUGAGCAUAUCGACUGAGCCUUACAAACUCACGUUCAUAUUCGGAUACCGUCAAACGGCCUUGUUUAAGCUCCAAAAAUUCUUUGCGCUUUUGAUCAAUGAAUCGUUGACUGAUAUACUUUUUACGAAACUCCAUCUGGAAGAAGUCCCAAGUAACUCGUUCCUUUGGAACAAUCAAAAUCAAGGUUUUCCACCAAUAGUAGGCCGAAUCGCGUAAUAAGGAUAUGGCACACUUUAGACACUCAUCGGGUGUGCAAGAUAGCUCAUAAAAAUACGGAUGGUAUUAUCAAGCCAAAACUCAGCCCUUUCAGCAUCAUCAGUAGCGGUGGCUCAAAAUUCCUCGACCCUGCGCUUUCUAAUCAAAUCAACAGGAGGUUUACUCAGCCUCAUAGGGUCAGUAGUUGCUGGUAUUAUAGGCACCGGAGAAGGAGUAUUCAAAUUCGGGAAUUGUUGAGCAGCCGGGUUUGUUCGGGCAUACUGUGCAACCCACUCAUUCAUCAUGGUAAAGAAGACUUGUUUAGCCCCAUCAUCUUGAUUACUCGCAGAUGGUUAAGGUUCAACAGGCGCUGUCCCUGGAGUGGAUUCCAUUUACUAAUGAAACAACAAUUUCAACCGUCAGAAGUCAUCACACUAUCAUAUCCUAGCAUUAUGGCAUGUAUAGCUAGACUCAUACGCACUACGAUAGUCCUAAAAUCGACUAAACUAUGGCUCUGAUACUAAUAAAAUGUAACACACAAAUAUCCGUGUCGAUUACUAGAGUAGGUUCAUAAAACAUAACAUGCUCAACUUUUCAAUAGAACACUUGAGAUACAAAAGAAAAUUGAAAAGUGAAAUCUUAAAAUUUACGAAUAACAUUACCCGAUUAAAACCCUUCUAUUCAUUUUAUGAUUUAUCCCCUAUUGACCGAGUGCACAUACAUAAUAUAUAUAAUUCAAUCAUAUCACAAAUAUGAAGUUCUAAAUCAAGAUUUAUAACCAAAACAUUUUCAAAUUCAUACAUAGAACUUUAGCCAUAUUCGUAUGGCUUUAUAUACAAUUAUAUCAAAAUAGCUAACCUCCCAAAAUUACUAUCCUAUACAUGCCAUAAUGUCUACUAAAGUUUCAAACAAAAGUACCAAAAAGGUUAACAAAAGUUGCGAUGACUUCGUGAUGGUUCCUAAGCUUUCCUCGAAUAAAAUGAUCUAUACCAAAGCAAAAAACACACCGAGUGAGUUAUUAACUCAAUAAGUCCUAAGAAAAUUUCAAUACUAUAAUAAUUCAAUUAUCUACAAACUAAAUAAUUCACUCAAUACUAUUCGAACUUAGCCAUGAUAUCACAAGGAAAUAUAUUAUGUCACAAACGUACCUUAUGCAUUUGGUACAUACUUACCCGAAUACACUAUAUACUCCUACUCUAAAUAUUCACAAUUAAAAUACCAUGGCAAUUUCAUAUACAACCAUUGACGUAUAUAUAUAUGUAUAUAUAUAAUAUACAAAGCCUAAAAUUUAAAGCAUAAACCAAGCCACUCCAUCUAUCAAUCAAAUCUCCAAUUUAAUGUUUAGUUGCAUUCUUAAUUGCCACAAAUAAUACUCCAUAAUCAACAUUUCACACUUAGUGCUCGAUUUGAAAGUCCGCACACACAGUGCUUUUACUUAUUCACACACAUAGUGCAAUGUUUUCUCGCACACAUAGUGCCACAUAACUUCGCACACAUAGUGCUGUAUUUUCUUAUCUUUAAUCAUCAUAUUAUCAUAGAUUGAUCAAUAAUUUCACAUUCGAUUCCCAAGAACAUAUAUAUACUAUGAUAUCUUAUCUAACUUAAUUUGUCUCAUCUAUGCUCAAAGUUAACUAUAACUUGAUUACCUAAGGACUUACCUUUUUAAUCGGAUGACAACUCCGAUCGGCUACUCCAUCACUCUUGCUUUCCCUUUUUCUGAACUUGGCUCCCUUUGAUCUUGAGCUCCAACUCCAGCUAAGCAAAUAAAAUAACUAAAUCAUCGUAACCACAAUUUAUACUUCUUCCUCAUAGACACACACACACAAAGAUUCGGUAUUUGCUCAUACAUAAUUUAAAAUUUAAAUCUUUAAACUUAAUGUAUAUCCAACAUACUUCUCAUAUAUUCCUAUAAUUCAAUACAUUAUAAGAUCAAUUUCGGCAAUUCACAUUUCCAAAUUUUAUUAGCUAAGUUCAUUUUCGGUUAGUGCUCUUUUAAAAUCUAUCAAGCUCGUAUUCCUCUAAUUUCAUGAGUUCAACAUCUUAGUGCCCAUAGUAACUACUCAAAUAAAUUUCGAAUACAUAAAUUAAGUCACCCCAAACUAUCUUGAUUUAAAAUCGACUAACAUACAUAUGUCAAACUAUUUUAACCAAAUUUUACUUAUCACUUAUACUAAAAUAUGCACUUAAACUUACUAUGUUUACAUCAUGCCUUACACUCCCAAAAAAUAAGACAUCAAUCUAUUUCCUUCUUCCAUGUCUCAGUCAACUACUCAUUUUACCUCAUAAUCUUGAAUUUUGCAUUUUAACGUAUCUAUCAUGACUUAUUCGGCUUACAUUGAACCACUACUCAUACAAGAAAAUAGCAAACAAAAUGUACUACCCAUUCAAAUCCUCAUAUGGCCGAAUACACAAUGUACUACCCAACUAAUAAUUCAACAAGUUCAACCUUUGGCACAACGGGCUUAUGGAUCACGACCUUUGGCGCAACUUGUGCCCCGACUUCAUUCAUUCUCGGACGUGAUAUGAUAACCACUGGGUGGUUGACUUUGUAAACACCCUUCAUCGAUCCUUCUUCGGAGGCACACACAUCUGUUUCUUCCGGGCUUCCGACAUAUUUGAAGAAUUCCAGCUCCUUAUUAUCCAUCAAUCCUUGUAACAAAGCCCUGAAUUCACUGCAUUUCUGAAUCUCGUGAUCCUCUUGAUCAUGGAACUCGCAAUAAUUCUCCGCUUCUCGAGGUCUGACCCUUGAAUUCUGUGCUAUCAACCCUCUUUCCACCAUUUUCUUCCAAACUUCCUCCAACGGGGUAUUCACUUCUGCAAUACUCAUCUUAAUUUUUUUCCCCGAACUCUCGAUUAUCGCAUUUAUUGGUUAGGUAAUGGGUUCUCUGUAUUGGAUGCAUCAUCAAAUUUUACAAUUCUCAUGUUGAUGAGUCUUUCAACCAAUUUCUUAAAAGUAGUGCAGUUUUCUAUCGAGUGUCCUGUGGCUCCCGCAUGGUAUUCGCAUUGGGCAUUUGCGUCAUACCAUUUGGGGUAUGAAGGUUGCAUUGGCUUUAGAUAAAAGAGAGACACGACAUGUGCAUCAAAUAAACUCUGGUAUAACUCUUUGUACGUCAUUGGAAUGGGCGUUAAUUGAAGUUUCUCCCUAUUUUAUUUUAUGUUGGGCUCUUGUUUGGGUGGGCCCUGCUGUCCAGUAGUUGUCGACCUUGGUUGGCUUACGGUGAUUGAUUUCGAAUAUGAGCUCACAUUAUUCACCAUGUGCUCUUUCUUUCUCGGCCCUGACCUCUUAGCGUUUUCCCCAGCCUCUAUUUUCCCACAUCUUAUGGCAUUUUCUAUCAUUUCUCCAGACAUUACUAUGUUCGAAAAACUCUUGGUUGCGCUACCCAGCAUGUGGUUAAUAAAAGGUGCCUUCAGGGUAUUGAUGAAGAGCAUAGUGGUUUUCUUUUCCAAAAGAGGGGGUUGGACCUGUGUGGCCACUUCUCUCCAUCGCUGGGCGUACUGCCUAAAGCUCUCAUUAUGCUUUUUCUCCAUAUUCUGUAAAGUGAUUCUAUCAGGGGCUAUGUCCACCACAUGACCGUACUGCUUCAUGAAGGCUUGUGCUAAAUCUUUCUAUGAACUGAUCUGGGCGCGACUCAGUUGGUUGUACCAUCUAGAAGCGGCCCCAACCAGACUUUCUUAGAAGCAAUGAAUUAAUAGUUGGUCAUUGUUAACAUGGCCUGCCAUUCAUCUGCAGAACAUAGUAAUGUGAGCUUCGGGACAGCUAGUACCGUUGUAUUUCUCAAAUUCUGGAGUUUUGAACUUGAGAGGGAGUACCAGGUCCGGAACCAAACUUAAUUCCUUAGCAUCGAUUCUACCACGAUAGUCGGUGCUUUCCAUUUCUUUAAAUUUUUCUUCCAACCAUCUACACCUUUCUUCAAGCUCUCUCGGGAGUUCUACCCUUUUCUUUUCUGCUUCUGUUACAUCAUCAAGAUUGAGGACCACAGGGUUGGUUGGGUUGUCCCCCGGAUUAGAGCCCGAGUCAGCCUGAUAAUUCAUCGGUUCUGAAAUACCGGCCUGAAAUGGUUGGGGCCUAAUUGUGACCGAUGGCCUUCUUGGGUAUAUGUCAAGUUGUGUCUGAACGUCCGCUGGGGCAAAGCCCGAAGGGUAGGUAGGAUCUUCAUUAUCUUCUCCCGCAUUGAUCAAAGGGCUUUUCCCUUUUUCUAAUCCACCAGCCAAUAGACGAGUUAAUUGGUCCAUCAUGAUUUUCUGGAACUCCAACAUAUGGUCCCUCAUAUCUUGCUGUAUCUUAGCCAGUUGCUCUUACAUCUGCGCUUGUAAUUAUUCUUGCAUCUCCCUUUGCAUUUGUUCUAUCCUUUCUAAUCUCUGAUCCAUUGCUUUGGUUUUACGGCGGGUAUAGUGGCUGUGUUCAGUUGCUUGAUUCUCGUUGGUUUCUAGAUUAACUGAAAUAAUUUUGUUUAAUCAGGGUUCUUUAGUGAAAGUUUAAUGCAAAUGUUGCAAUGUAAUGCAAAUGUAUGGAAUGAAUGCAAAAGAAAGGAAGAUGUUCAUCUUGAAUUCAAUUCCAUUAGAAUAACUUUUCUAGAAAACAUAUUUCUUUACAUGAAAAUAGAUUACAUAUGCGGUAUUGCCCUUCAUAGUCCAAGUAAACGCUGAUAUUUUCUUCAUGGUCGAAUCUUGUAAAUUCUCCAAAAGAUGCAUUUGCUAGUUCCUUGCUGCUUAAUCUGAGCCUCGAUCUCUUACUCGCUUAUCUCCAUGAUACUCAUCAAAAAGUGCCGACUCUUGGAUAAUCUUUGUCGACAAUUAAAUCAAGUCAUGUAUUCCUUCGUAGACUUCUGGCUUUCUCUCGUCAUGCUCUUGGAUAACUUUUGUUGGCUUGAAUCUUCGGCAAUUACAUCAUGCAUUCCUCUGUGGACAUCAGCUUUCUCUCGUCGUGUUUAUUUGGACUAUAUUCAGACGACCGUACUAUAAUCCACUUUAUCAAGAAAUUUGUUUCCUUAUGACAAACUAUUCUAUUUGGGAAUCGAAUUUCGAAUCAACACAUUCUUUUCUUUGAUGUAAUGUAAUGCAAAUGUAUGAACGCAAAAAAAAAGGAAGGCAUUGAUUCUAAAUUUAAUUUCAUUAGAAAAACUUUUCUAGAAAGCAAAUUCCUUUACAUAAAACGGACUACAUAUACGGCUUUUCUCUUGUAUUCCAAGUGAAGACACCUAUCUUCCUCCUCAUAUCCAGAUCUUAUGGUCGAGUCUGACGAAUUCUCCAAGAGAUGUCUAUAUUAACUCCUUUUUUGCUCGAUCCAGGCUGCGACUCGUUGCUCACUUAUUACUGUGAUACUUGUCAGCUCCUUUAAGAAGGUUAAGAUGUGACGGCUCUCGAAUAAUCUUUGUUAGUUUCUGUCUUCAGACAAUGAAGCAAAGUCUUGUAUUUCUUCACGGGCUAUCAGUCUUCUUUCAUGUGUUCACUUGGACCAUAUUUAGACAACCGUAUUAUAAUCCACUUUAUCAAAAAAUUCGUUUUCUUAUGACAAAUUGUUCUAUUUAGCAAUCAAAUAUGAAUCAACACCUCCUUCCUAGGAUGAUGUAAUGUAAUGCAAUUAUAAACAAAACAAAAACAAAACACGUUAGUGCAGGAUAAAUAAAUAACAAAUAAAGCAAUUCGGGUGACCACUAGGGGUUCGGAGUGGCUCUACCUAGGGUGGGCUCCUAGGUCUCUCUAUAUGUGGUUUGGUUCUAGAGUAAGGGUACCUGAACCAGCAGAUUCCUCGAUCCUCACCCAUUAUAGGCUCAUUUGAAUCGAGUUCAAUUCAGGAGAAUACAUUUCCCUAUGGCUACACGGAGAUGAAAAUCUCACGAAACCAUAGGUACGGAUGUAUUCCGAAAGUGAUCCACUAUCUUGCACGAAGGUGAAAACCUCACGAAUGCGUAGUUUCUCACUCUCACUUAAGGGUGUGACCACAACGGUCAUGCAAUGCAAUGUGAUAAGAUAUAUGCAUAAAAACUUGAAACGAUUAAAGAAAAUAGGAAUAAAAUGAUGAAAACAGUACGAAAAAUGGGUGAAACGUAAUGAAGAGAUCGUAUAUCAAAACCAAAUUCUCAAUUUUCGAAAAAAGACAAAAGUUAAUCAACUUGUGGCUUGACUCUCUUAUAAAAGUCCCUAGUGGAGUCGCCAAGCUGUCGUAACCAUUUUUUUAAAAAAACGGGAAUCGGCUUAGAUUUUUGGAAAUGAAAACGAAUAGAGGAGUCGCCACCAAUCUUUUCUGAUGAGGUGUGAUCGGAUCACCUUAAAUUAAUCAUUUUAAUAAAAGUUAAGAUUUACUAAAACGAUAAUUUUUGGUCUACGAAAAUCAGAAAAUGAGUUCGGGAGUCGAUUACGCACAAGGAAGGAUUAGCACCCUCGAUACGCCCAAAAUUGGUACCUAGUUGAUUAAUUAGUGUCUUAGUGUCGAAAUUUUGAAAACUUGAAAGAAUUUAAAAUACGAUCUCUCUUUGUAAAGAAAAUGCUCAAAUGUUAAGGACCUUCUCGUCUCACAAUAUAAAAUGUCACAUCCAGUAAGUUAGGACACGACAUCUUGAAUUUUCGAGAGCGAGCUUGCCUUUUAUAUAAAAAUUCGUGUAUUUCAAAAGGUUAUUCAGUUAGUUAAGGUGAACGAGGAAAAUCGAAACCCAGUAAGUUAGGGCACGUUCCCUCGAAUUCCCGAACACCGAAUAUUGCCUUUACUUGAAAAAAUUUUAUUUCGCGGUAACAAAAUGCCAUACCCGGUAAGUUAGGGCACAACACCUCGUAUAUCCGAGAAUAAGCAUUUUUCAAAACUCAUGUCGCGAUUUAAAAGAGUAUUCCGUUAUUUAGGUUAAAGGAGAAAAAUCAAAACCCAGUAAGUUAGGGCACGAUUGUCUCGAAUUACCAAAUACGGAAUAUUACUUUUAUGAAAGAAUUAUUAUUGGGUUAGAUAUAAUGAUAAUAAUAAUAAUAUUAAAGUAAAGUAAAUAAUAAUACUAUAUAUAAAUAUAUAUGUAUAUAAUAGAAAUACACACUACUAUAUAAUAAUAAUAAAUAUAGAAAUACAAAAAGCAAAUAUAAUAAAAAUAUUAAAUUAAAGUAAUAAAAAAUAAUACUAUAUAUGAAUAUAUAUAUACAUAAAAAUAUACACUAAUAUAUAAUAAUAAUAGUAAUAGCAAAAAUAAUGAAAAUGUGAGUAAUAUUAAUAAUAUAUUAGAAUACAAAAGUAAAGUAAUAACAAUAGGGGUGAUAAUAAUAAUAAUAAUAAUACAAACAAUAAUACAUAUAUAUAGAUAAUAAUAGUAGUCAGAAAUAAAAAAUAAUAGAAGUAACAAUAAUGAUAGUAAUAAUAUAAAUAAAUAUGGAGAGGGCAUAUAUAAUAUAAUAAUAAUAUAAAUAAUAAUAUAUACAUGAGGAAUAAUAAUAAUAUAAAUAAUAGUAAAAAUAAUAAAAUAAAAUAAAAAUAAAACAAAGCUCUCAACUCUCUUUCUCCCUCUUUUCUAAAUCCGGCCAUUGGUCCGGCUUUGCUUCGGUCACGAACCCCCACGGGCCGCCGUCGGCGCCACCGUACACGGUGGUCGGACCUCAAAAAAAACCUUUUUCGGUAAUGAAAAUAAGGGUAAACUUCUUACUUUUAUUUUUACUUUCGUAUAAAAGAAACAAAAUAAAAUUGAAAGGAAAACAAUAAACAAACAAAGAACUUAAGAUGAGAAUAGACAAAAGAAACCUCUUUUGCUUUUAUCUUUGAUUAAUCUCCAAAAACUAGCCUUUCCAAAAAACAAAAAAAACCCCUUCUAACAUAGUCUUGAAUGACUUUUAUAGCCAAAUUUUACAAAUAAAUUUUUGUAAGCAAGUGGAGUGGUUGGGGUGGUUUAGGUGGCCAAGGUGGGUGGCCAACAAGGGUGGUGGAGUAGGUGGCCAAGGUGGGUGGCCAACAAGGGUGGUGGAGUAGGUGGCCAAGGUGGAUGGCCAACAAGGGUGGUGGAGUAGGUGGGAUUAGGGUUUUUCUUUUUCUGAUUUUUUUUUUUGGGUUGGGUUAGUGUUUUGGGCUAAGUUUUGGGUUUGUAUUGGGUUUUAAUUGGGUAGUUGGGUUAUGUUUAUUUGGGCCCAAAAUUGGGCUUGUACAACGUAGAUGAGAGAAUGAGGUUGAACUUGUUGAAUUAUUAGUUGGGUAGUACAUUGUGUAUUCGGCCAUAUGAGGAUUUGAAUGGAAUAUUCAUUUUGUUUGCUAUUUUCUUGUAUGAGUAAUGGUUCAAUGUAAGCUGAAUAAGUCAUGAUAGAUACGUUAAAAUGCAAAAUUCAAGAUUAUGAGGUAAAAUGAGUAGUUGACUGAGACAUGGAAGAAGGAAAUAGAUUGAUGUCUUAUGUUUUGGGAGUGUAAGGCAUGAUGUAAACAUAGUAAGUUUAAGUGCAUAUUUUAGUAUAAGUGAUAAGUAAAAUUUGGUUAAAAUAGUUUGACAUAUGUAUGUUUGUCGAUUUUAAAUCAAGAUAGUUUGGGGUGACUUAAUUUAUGUAUUCGAAAUUUAUUUGAGUAGUUACUAUGGGCACUAAGAUGUUGAACUCAUGAAAUUAGAGGAAUACGAGCUUGAUAGAUUUUAAAAGAGCACUAACCGAAAAUGAACUUAGCUAAUAAAAUUUGGAAAUGUGAAUUGCCGAAAUUGAUCUUAUAAUGUAUUGAAUUAUAGGAAUUUAUGAGAAGUAUGUUGGAUAUACAUUAAGUUUAAAGAUUUAAAUUUUAAAUUAUGUAUGAGCAAAUACCGAAUCUUUGUGUGUGUGUGUCUAUGAGGAAGAAGUAUAAAUUGUGGUUACGAUGAUUUAGUUAUUUUAUUUGCUUAGCUGGAGUUGGAGCUCAAGAUCAAAGGGAGCCAAGUUCAGAAAAAGGGAAAGCAAGAGUGAUGGAGUAGCCGAUCGGAGUUGUCAUCCGAUUAAAAAGGUAAGUCCUUAGGUAAUCAAGUUAUAGUUAACUUUGAGCAUAGAUGAGACAAAUUAAGUUAGAUAAGAUAUCAUAGUAUAUAUAUGUUCUUGGGAAUCGAAUGUGAAAUUAUUGAUCAAUCUAUGAUAAUAUGAUGAUUAAAGAUAAGAAAAUACAGCAUUAUGUGUGCGAAGUUAUGUGGCACUAUGUGUGCGAGAAAACAUUGCACUAUGUGUGCGAAUAAGUAAAAGCACUGUGUGUGCGGACUUUCAAAUCGAGCACUAAGUGUGAAAUGUUGAUUAUGGAGUAUUAUUUGUGGCAAUUAAGAAUGCAACUAAACAUUAAAUUGGAGAUUUGAUUGAUAGAUGGAGUGGCUUGGUUUAUGCUUUAAAUUUUAGGCUUUGUAUAUUAUAUAUAUACAUAUAUAUAUACGUCAAUGGUUGUAUAUGACAUUUCCAUGGUAUUUUAAUUGUGAAUAUUUAGAGUAGGAGUAUAUGGUGUAUUCAUGUAAGUAUGUACCAAAUGUAUAAGGUACGUUUGUGACAUAAUAUAUUUCCUUGUGAUAUCAUGGCUAAGUUCGAAUAGUAUUGAGUGAAUUAUUUAGUUUGUAGAUAAUUGAAUUAUUAUAGUAUUGAAAUUUUCUUAGGACUUACUGAGUUAAUAACUCACUCAGUGUGUUUUUCGCUUUGGUAUAGAUCAUUUUAUUCGAGGAAAGCUUGGGAACCAUCACGAAGUCAUCGCAACUUUUGUCAACCUUUUUGGUACUUUUGUUUGAAACUUUAGUAGACAUUAUGGCAUGUAUAGGAUAGUAAUUUUGGGAGGUUAGCUAUUUUGAUAUAAUUGUAUAUAAAGCCAUACGAAUAUGGCUAAAGUUCUAUGUAUGAAUUUGAAAAUGUUUUGGUUAUAAAUCUUGAUUUAGAACUUCAUAUUUGUGAUAUGAUUGAAUUAUAUAUAUUAUGUAUGUGCACUCGGUCAAUAGGGGAUAAAUCAUAAAAUGAAUAGAAGGGUUUUAAUCGGGUAAUGUUAUUCGUAAAUUUUAAUAUUUCACUUUUCAAUUUUCUUUUGUAUCUCAAGUGUUCUAUUGAAAAGUUGAGCAUGUUAUGUUUUAUGAACCUACUCUAGUAAUCGACACGGAUAUUUGGGUGUUACAUUUUAUUGGUAUCAGAGCCAUAAUUUAGUCGAUUCUAGGACUACCGUAGCGCGUAUGAGUCUAGCUAUACAUGUCAUAAUGCUAGGAUAUGAUAGUGUGAUGACUUCUGACGGUUGAAAUUGUUGUUUCAUUAGUAAAUGGAAUCCACUCCAGAGAGAGCCUUAGCGGAUGACGUUGAGAGUGUAGCGCCUGCUCCCACGUAAGGGACAGCGCCUGUUGAACCUUAACCAUCUGCGAGUAAUCAAGAUGAUGGGGCUAAACAAGCCUUCUUUACCAUGAUGAAUGAGUGGGUUGCACAGUAUGCCCGAACAAACCUGGCUGCUCAACAAUUCCCGAAUUUGAAUAAUCUUUCUCCGGUGCCUAUAAUACCAGCAACUAUUGACCCUAUGAGGCUGAGUAAACCUCCUGUUGAUUUGAUUAAAAAGAGCGGGGUCGAGGAAUUUCGAGCCACCGCUACUGAUGAUGCUGAAAGGGCCGAGUUUUGGCUUGAUAAUACCAUCCGUGUUUUUGAUGAGCUAUCUUGCACACCCGAUGAGUGUCUAAAGUGUGCCAUAUCCUUAUUACGUGAUUCGGCCUACUAUUGGUGGAAAACCUUGAUUUCGGUUGUUCCAAAGGAACGAGUUACUUGGGACUUCUUCCAGAUGGAGUUUCGUAAAAAGUAUAUCAGUCAACGAUUCAUUGAUCAAAAGCGCAAAGAAUUUUUAGAGCUUAAACAAGGCCGUUUGACGGUAUCCGAAUAUGAACGUGAGUUUGUAAAGCUCAGUCGAUAUGCUCAGGAGUGUGUAGCUGAUGAAGUUACCAUGUGUAAAAGAUUUGAAGAGGGAUUGAAUGAAGAUUUAAAGCUACUGGUGGGUAUUUUAGAACUAAAAGAAUUUGUAACACUGGUUGAACGAACUUGCAAGGCUGAAGAGCUUAGAAAGGAGAAAAAGAAAGCUGAAACUGAAGCUAGAGAUUUUCGUAAAAGAUCGAUGGGUAAAACUUCUUUCUCGGCUGCAAAGAAGUUCAGACACGAUACUAAUAGAUCAAAGACGACUGCAGGAAUUUCUAUUAAAGAGCGACCAUCAACGGACUCUCGAGCUACUUCGGUUGCUAGUGUUGGCAACAAUCGGCCAGAAAAACCCGAAUGUCCACAGUGUGGAAGACGACAUGUAGGUGAAUGUUGGGGUAAAUCUAUUAACAGAGCCUGUUAUAGAUACGGUUCGCGGGAUAAUUUUGUUCGAGAUUGCACGGAAUCUGACGAGAAAAAUAAACUGCAAGGUGGGAGGUCGAGCGGUACAACAACUAGAGGUGGACCACCGAGAAAUGCAGGAGGCAUGGGUGGUAAUCAGAGAGGGACUACUGAUACGACUGCUCGAUCUGAGACUCGUGCCCCCGUCAAAGCUUAUACCAUUCGUGCACGAGAGGAGGCAUCCUCUCCUGACGUUAUCACUGGUACAUUUACUCUCUAUAGUACUAGUAUGCUUGCUUUAAUUGAUCCUGGUUCAACUCAUUCUUACGUAUGUGAAACAUUAGCGUCCAGUAAGACUCUACCUGUUGAGUCUACUAAGUUCGUAAUUCGAGUGUCGAAUCCCUUGGGUCGAUAUGUGCUUGUCGACAAGGUGUGUAAGAAAUGCCCCCUAAUAAUCCGAGGUUCCUGUUUUCCAGCCGAUUUGAUGCUUUUACCGUUUGAUGAAUUUGAUGUUAUUCUUGGUAUGGACUGGUUGACUGUACAUGAUGCAGUUGUAAAUUGCAAAAGAAAGACCAUUGAUUUGAGAUGUGCAAAUAAUGAGAUAAUCCGAGUUGAGUCUACUGACCUGAACGGAUUGCCAUCAAUAAUAUCCUCGAUGUUGGCUCAGAAAUAUGUGAAAAAGGGGUGUGAAGCAUAUCUUGCGUACGUACUUGAUAGCAAAGAGUCAGAAAAGAAACUUGAAUCAGUGCCAGUGGUUUGUGAGCAUUCAGAUGUUUUUCCUGAGGAAUUACCGGGAUUACCACCCGUCCGAGAGGUAGAAUUCGGCAUCGAACUUGUACCUGGGACUACACCAAUUUCGAUAGCUCCGUACCGUAUGGCACCAACGGAAUUGAAAGAAUUGAAAACUCAGUUGCAAGAGUUGACGGAUAAAGGUUUCACUCGACCGUGUUUCUCACCGUGGGGUGCACCAGUAUUGCUUGUGAAAAAGAAAGACGGAACCAUGAGAAUGUGCAUCGACUAUCGUCAAUUGAAUAAAGUGACAAUAAAGAAAAAAUAUCCAUUACCGCGUAUUGAUGAUUUGUUUGAUCAGCUGAAGGGAGCCUCAGUGUUUUCAAAGAUAGAUUUGAGAUCGGGUUAUUAUCAGUUGCGAGUCCGAGACUCAGAUAUACCUAAAACUGCUUUUAGAAUGAGAUACGGUCACUGCGAUCAUUUUCCAUAAUCAUCACAAAAUUUUCAAUUCACUAAGACUUAUAGACAUAAAUUUGAUUAUCAAGUUGAAUUGAGAAUCAAUAGUCUAACCAGUUUAACCACAAAUCUAAUUAUUAAAAUAUUGGAUGCAACAUUAUAAAGUUGUACCACGCCAUCACUUUUAAGUGAUAAAGUGGUAUAAUUUUAUAGUGUCUCAACAAACUUUUACAUUUUUCAAUUUUAGGGUCCAAAAUAGACCUAGUUAUCAAGUUUUGGGACUAAAAAUUAUAUUAUGGCUUUAAAAUAGUCUUAACAAAUCAUUUUAUUUAUUUUUUGAAUAAAUAACUAUUAUUAAUAGGAACCUUGAAAAAAAAGUACAAAGACAUUGCACAUGAUACAAAUAAUAAAUAAAUCACUACAAACUAAUGUACAAAUGUCAUGCCAACAAAGUAAUAAAAAAAUGACAAAUUGACAAUAAUUGCAACACUGGAAUAAUUUAGAAACAAACCAAAAAUGCAACUUGAUCAAAUCAUUGAAAUUUACACCCUAGCCUUAUCAUCAUCAAAUCAACCUGACAUCAACACCAAUCAACCAAGAAAAAACUUCCAAAAGUUCAAAGAGACUCAUUGCAUAAGCGAUGCACAAAAGGUCAAGUCUCAGGGAAUUUAUCAUUUUGAUCAUCUUGAAUCUAUCACCAUCGUUAUGAUCUAUCAUGAUAAAGCUGAUCGAGAACAAUUCCUAAUAGAUCUAGAGGCACCCUUAUAUUGACAAAUCUCACAUAUAUGCCAGAAUAUGCCUCAAAAUUAAAAGAACAAAUAAAACCACAUUUACUUUCAAACAAAACAAAGUGGACAAAACAAAAACCACGAAAAAUAUGGACAAAAUAAAACUAAAAAAAUGUGGACAAAACCACAAUGGUGUGCACUGAAAUUAAAAACAAAUUAAACUUACGACAAAAACGUUGGAGAAACUGUGACCAGCAACCAACUUGAAGGUCUGCGCCACCAACAAUAAAGCAAUAAUUUAGUUAGAAAAAAUUGAGUGUCUAAAGUUUUCUAUGAAUAAAGUAAACUCCACUAAGAAAUUAAUUGAAUUAAUUUAUCUUAUAAUUAAAUAAAAAAUUAAAGAAUGGAUUAAACUAGAAAAAAAAACCAAAAAAAGUUAUUAUUGUUUAAAAGAUAUUUAUUUUUUUCGAAUAUUUAAAAAAAUGAAUAUUUUCUUUUAUGUUUUAUAUUAUCUUCGAUUCUUUUCAAUAUAUAUUUUUAUUUAAUGUUUCACUUACUUUACUUUAAUUAUUAUUAAUUUAUAUUUUAAAUUUAAUAAAAUAUUAAAUUAUUUAGUUUAACUGGUUAAAUUAAAAAUUUGAAAGUUUAAUAGAUUCAAUUGAUGGGAAGCUCUACAUGGGAGCGUUCCCUAGAACUCCAACCAAUUUUUCGGGAGUUUUUAGGGAGCGCUCUUUACAAAGAGCUUUUUGUUAACUCCCCUUAAAUGUUAAUAAAAAAAAUAUGAAAAGAAAUUUUUAUUUUUUAGUAUUUGAAUUUUGUUUUAAUUUUCAAAUUAAUAAUUAAGUUCUUCUCUUUUCUUCUUCUUCUUCUUCUUUUUUUAUUCAAGUUGGUAAUCAAAUUUGAUUUUUGACACAUAUUUAGUGUAACAGCCUAAUUUUCAGCGAUAUCGGGAAUAGAGAUUUGAGAUCACUAAAUCCGACGAGUGAGUCGAAAAUUUAAUAAAUUAAUACCUAUGAGUCAAAUGUGAAUAUAGAAGUAUUUUUGAAUUAGUGGAUUCGGUGAUUUAAAAUAAUCAAUUAGGUAAACUGGGUCGAGAACGAGGUAUUGAGACCUCGAAUUCAUAAACCGAGCCAUAAAUAUUUUUAGAAAUAUUUAUGGAGUGUUAGUGAGGUAGUAUUAAAAUUUCGUCAGAAAAUUUUAACGUUUGGGUGGUUAAUUAAAAAAAGGACUAAAUUGAAAAAGGUGUAAAAGUUGCUAAAAGGAUUAAAUAGCUCAAUUGUCAAAUGAGGAAGAACUAAAAGUGAAAAUAAGACUAAAGGAGAUAUUUUGGGCUGCAAUAGCUGAGAAAAAAUCAGGAAAAGGGUGAAAGAAGGGAAAAUUGGAAAAUUAUCAAAAUUAGCUAAAUAAAAAUGAGACCAAAUUGGAAUAUCUAGAAUUCUCUUCAUUUUUUCUUCAUUCUCAUCAGCCAAAACACCAUAGGAGGGGUUCUAUAAGCUGGUAUUCCAUAAUUGUUUCACCAAGUGAGUUAAUCCUUGCCUUUUUCUUAUAGUUUUUGUGUUUUUAAGAAUUUUACUACUAGGUCCUACUGUUAAAUUCAUUAGUUUUUGAUUUCAUGGAUGAAAUUGAAAGUCAUCAUGGUUGAGUGCUGUAAGUUUAUGAUGAAAUAGCAUGAAAUUGAAGCUUUAAUUUGUUUAUGAGCUGAUUUUAUUAGGUAAUUUCAAUAGAAAUUGAUUUUUAGGACCUAAUUGUGAAAAUAUUUGGAAUUAAAGUUUAGUGCUGAAAUUCUAAUUUCCAAAGGUUAUAAAGUAAUUUAAAGUGAUAGAAUAAAGUUUUAAUUGAGAAAAAUCAGCUCAAUUCAAAGCCUAAUUGAAUAGGGAAGAAAUUAAUAUUUAUUAAAAGCUUAGGGGGAAAAUGGUAAUAAACAUCUUGCACUAAAACAGUUUUGGACAGCAGCAGUAAGCUAACUUUGAAAAAUUAUCAUAAAUUGUAGAAAUCGAAUUAAAAGAUGAAAAAAUAUGGAAUUAAAUCUUAUUGAGUCUAGUUUCUCAUAGAAGAAACGGUGUAAGCAAUGAAAUUGUAAAUCAUGAGAUAUAAUAAAUUUUUUAAGAUAAUGUCAGAAUGAAUUCGGGUUCCCUUGUUCUGAAUUUGAAAAAUCAUAAAAAAUUUAAUAAAAAUAAUUAGGGGCUUAAAUUUAUACUUUUAGAAUCCUGAAUAAGUAUAUUUUCAAGAGAAACAAACGGGAACAUCAUUCAAAUCCUGUACGAGGAGAUAAUUAAUUUUUAGUGAAAAAGGGUCGGAACUGUCAGAUAGCAGAACAUGGGUGACUUUAAAGAAUAAACUGUACUUAUUGGUUAAAUUUUAUGCUAAAAAGAUAUGUGAAUCUAGUUUCAGAGAAAAUUAGCAGAUCUUAAUUUGGAGUUCUGUAGCUCAAGAUAAAAAUAAUUUAGUGACUAUGACACGGAUGGAUAGCUUGAAUAUUCACAUAAGUAAAUAGUGAAAAUUAUGGAUAAUGUUACUUACAAGUGUGUUGUUUAUACUAAGGAUGUGGAUGGAGAGGAGGAGGAGAAAAUAUACAUAUAUAUAUGAAUGACUUGUGUAUAAAUUGAUCACAUGCCCGAUUAUAAUCGAUAAGUGUUGAAUUAGAAAUAAUAUAAUAUUUUAUUUGAAAUAUUUAUUAUGAAAUUAUGAUUAUCGCUAUAAUACAAAAAUCGAACUUGUGAGUUUAUAUAACUAAAUUUUAGUGACCAUUUGUUAAUAUUAUUAAAUUUCAAUAUUAUUUUAUGAAUGGUGAUUAAUAUUUAUGUAUGUUAAUUGUUGAAAAUAAGUAAAUUAUGUACAAAAGUUAUGAAAUUGAACUGAGUAUUUCGGAGGAACGGAACACAGGAAAUGAGUACGAUCUUUCAGUGAAAACGAUGAAUUGAUGGUAAAUGAUCCAAAUAAAUCGAGAUUCAGCAUUUGUUGCGAAUUCUCGUGUUUGCUUUCCGUUUAGCUCUUACGAGCUUUCGUUAACUCAUAUGAGUUUCAGUUAACCCUUUUGGGGUUUCAAUUCAGCUCUAAUGAGCUUCAGUUAGCCUUUGGGCUUCCGUUUAGCACUUAUGUGCUUCAGGUAGCCUUCGGGCUUCAGAUCACGAUGUACUCAAAUCCGUAAGCCGUUCCUUGAAUGGACAAGUUGGUAAGUCAUAAAUGUAACGUGUGGAAAAAGAAAUGUAAAUAAUGUUAUCAUUAUUAUUAUUGAGCUCAACUAUGUGAUUUCGUCAUUCAGAGAUUGUGUUUGACAGUAUAUGUUAGUAAAUUAUGAGUAUGUGAAUCAAAGUGACAGAAUUUAAACGCCUAUUAAGGUUGAGCUCAUUCAUAUGAAUUUGUUAUUUGAAAUUGUGAUUGACAGGAAGAAACAGUGAAUUGCAUGCUUAUGAAUGGUUACACAUAAUUAUCUAAAAAACAAGAAAAAUAACGGUUAUUGAUAUAUGGAGACAUGAGACAUUGAUAUAUGAAUGUGGAAUAUGUUUGAUAAAUAUGUUCAUUCAUAAUUAUGGAAUUAUGUACCUCAUGUGUGCUAUUUGCAUAAAUAUGAUAUUUCAAAUACUAUGGUGAAUAAAGCUUAAAUAUGAAAUAGUAUGAAAUAGUAUGAAAUCAAGACAAGUUGUUAUAAAAAUAUAUUUAAAUUAUCUGUAAGUGUUUCGUACUCCUUGGUAAUGUCUCGUACUCUAUUCCGGCGACGGAUACGGGUAAGGGGUGUUACAUUUAUUGGUAUCAGAGCUUCGAUUUAGCCGAUUCUCAAAACAAAUGAGAUGUGUAAAGUGUCUAGAAAUACAUGCUAUAUAAAUUUGUGAUAGUGUGAUGUGUAUGAUCCGAUCUAAUCUUUAUUUUACUUAUAGAAAAAGAUGUUUUCCAAUCGAGUUAUUUUCGAUAGUACUAAAAAUGAUAUUGAGAUAUUUGAAAUGUGUUUAUAAUGAGAAGGAACUUAGAAAGGUAUGAAUAGAAGUUCAUGAUAUGUAUAUGAUAAUGUACGAAAUAAGAUAAUCAAAAGUUGAGAAAUGUUGAAACGUGAAUGAAAUGAAAGUUUAUAUUGUGAUAAGCUUAUCUAUGUUUGUGUGGCAUUCAUAUGAUGUUAUAUGUCUGACUUGUUUGGUUAAGUAAAUGCUAUGAGUAAAUUUACUCAAAAUUCAUAGAAUGUAUGUUUAAGUACACUAGUUUGAAAUGGAUAAUUAAAAAGUUCGUGUGACAUAACUAUGUAUAUUAAUUUGUUUGAAGUGAAUUAUGUAAUUGUGAUGAUAUGAUGUUGAUGAUAAAUGUUAAGUCAUAUGUGUCUAUUUAUAAGAGUUAAGUUAGAGGCUUUACGACCUCUUACCAAUGUAGUAUUUUAUAACGAAAAUUUACAAAAAUUAUGUUGAAUAAGUUCACAAGUGUGAAACUAAUGAGUACAAUAAUGGAAUAAUUAAUAAUGCAGACGGAGUUGAAAAUAGUUUGACAAGUGAAUACAGUUUUGAAAAAGAUAUCAAAUUAUUCUACAGAUUAUUCAAAUUACGUAAUGUCACAGUUAAAGAAAAAGUUAACCUCGGCUAGUCGACUUAUUCAGAUAUGAUGUCUGAAGUAUGUGUUUGCUGAGGUUUUUCCUGAAUUGGUUUUCGUUAGUUAAUGGAAUGAUGCGGGGUUCAUGAUGACAGAAUUAGUCAGAAAAAUGAUAAUUGAGUAGUAAAAAUGUCUGUGUGUGAUAGUUACAGUUGAAACGAAUAUGAUCAUCUUUUCUGGGUAUUCUAUAUAUUCUUUUAUCUUCAGAGAUAUGUGUGUGGUUGUUCAGUCUCUGGUGGAGUUCUAAUGUUGUGAGAAUGCUAGUUAACUAUGAUGUUAAAAGAAAGCCCUAUUGGCCUGGUCGGUUUAUGAUCUCCAUUUCUUCAUCUUUUUGGAAUUCUAUUUUAAUAUGUUAGAAAUGAAGUCAAUGGUAGAAAUUUAUGUGAGACUAUUCUUAUGUUUCUACUGAUUAUGAUUUUGUUUUAUACAUGUCGGGAAAUAUAUUAUCUCUGUUAUGAUGGAAGUCCAGAGUCGGUAAGCAGUGUUUUUCUUCCGGCUUUCUUUGAGAAAUUAUCAAGAUCUUUAUUAUCUUCUUGUGAGUUAGAUGUACUAGUGAUUGAAUGAGCGUUACAUAAUAUUGUUGAGUUCGUGUUCAAAUGUCUAUUUGUUAGCAAGUAAGCCGAACAUUAAAAGCAUUCAGGAUUAUUGCAGUCAGUGAUAAUACUAGUGUGUUAUGAGAUAGAAUGACUAUAAAUUUCGAAUUGGGAUUGUCAUUAACAUCGAAAAGGAAAAUGUUAUUUAGUUUAUGGUUGUUCAUUUGACAAAGAAAGAUCUAUAUGAUCAUUUCAAUAGGGACAGAGUUUUUAUUUGACAGAUCAGCUGAGUAUAUGUGUUCUUGAGAGGGUAAUUUAGAAUUUUGACAGUAUCUUCCAACAUUGUGUUCUAGGGUUCAAAGGUGACUGGAAAAAGAUAUUCGAGGUUAAAUCAAAUUGUGAUUCUCAGAAGUUAGUAAAAGUGUUUCAUGAGUGUUGAAAGCAACUUCUUCUGGUAAGAUUUUCGGGGACAAAAUCCCUAAAGGGGGGGAGAGUUGUAACAGCCUAAUUUUCAGUGGUGUCGGGAAUAGAGAUUUGAGAUCACUAAAUUCGAUGAGUGAGUCUAAAAUUUAAUAAAUUAAUACCUAUGAGUCAAAUGUGAAUAUAGAAGUAUUUUUGAAUUAGUGAAUUCGGUGAUUUAAAAGAAUUAAUUAGGUAAAUUGCGGCGAGAAUGAGGUAUCGAGACCUCCACUUCAUAAAUUGAGCCAUAAAUAUUUUUAGAAAUAUUUAUGGAGUGUUAGUGAGGUAGUAUUAAAAUUUCGUCAGAAAAUUUUGAUGUUUGGAUGGUUAAUUAAAUAAAAAGAACUAAAUUGAAAAAGAUGUAAAAGUUACUAAAAGAAUUAAAUAGCUCAAUUGUCAAAUGAGGAAGGACCUAAAGUGAAAAUAAGCCCAAAGGAGAUAUUUUGGGUUGCAAUAGCUAAGAAAAAAUUAGGAAAAGGGUGAAAUAAGGGCAAAAUUAGAAACUUACCAAAAUUAGCUAAAUAAAAAUGAGACCAAUUUCGAAUAUCUAGAAUUCUCUUCAUUUUUUCUUCAUUCUCAUCAGCCAAAACGCCAUAAGAGGGGUUAUAUAAGCUGGUAUUCCAUAAUUUUUGCACCAAGUGAGUUAAUCCUUGCCUUUUUCUUAUAGUUUUUGUGCUUUUAAGACUUUUACAACUAGGUCCUACUAUUAAAUUCAUUAGUUUUUGAUUUCAUGGAUGAAAUUGAAAGUCAUCAUGGUUGAGUGCUUUAAGUUUAUGAUGAAAUAGCAUGAAAUUGAAUCUUUAAUUUGUUUAUGAGAUGAUUUUAUUAGGUAAUUUCAAUAGAAAUUGAUUUUUAGGACCUAAUUGUCUAAAUGUUUGGAAUUAAUGUCAAGUGCUGAAAUUAUGAUUUCCAAAGGUUAUAAAGUGAUUUAAAGUGAUAGAAUAAAGUUUUAAUUGAGAAAAAUCAGCUCAAUUGAGAGGCUAAUUGAGUAGGGACGAAAUUAUUAUUUAUUAAAAGCUUAGGGGAAAAUGGUAAUAAACAUCUUGCACUAAAACAGUUUUGGACAGCAGCAGUAAGUUAACUUUAAAAAAUCAUCAUAAAUUGUAGAAAUCGAAUUAGAAGAUGAAAAAAAUAUGGAAUUAAAGUGUAUUGAGUCUAGUUUCUCAUAGAAGAAACGAUGUAUACAAUGGAAUUGUAAAUCAUGAGGUAUAAUAAAUUUUGUAAGACAAGGUCAGAAUAAAUUCGGGUUCCCUUGUUUUGAAUUUAAAAAAUCAUAAAAAAUUUAAUAAAAAAAAUUAUGGGCUUAAGUUUAUAUGUUUAGAAUCGUGAAUGAGUAUAUUUUCAAGAGAAACAAACGGGAACAUCAUUCAAAUCCUGUACAAGGAGAUAAUUAAUUUUUAGUGAAGAAGGGUCGGAACUGUCAGACAGCAGAAUAGGGGUGAUUUUAAAGAAUAAAUUGUACUUAUUGGUUAAACCAAAAAUUAUGAAAAUUUUAUGGUAAGAAGAUACGUGAGUCUAGUUUCAGGAAAAAUUAGUGGAUCUUAAUUUGCAGUCCUGUAGCUCAAGAUGAAAAUAAUUUAGUAACUAUGACACGAAUGGAUAGCUUGAAUAUUCACAUAAGUAAAUAGUGAAAAUUAUAUAUAAUGUUACUUACAAGUGUGUUAUUUAUAUUAAGAAUGUGGAUGGAGAGGAGGAGAAAAAUAUAUAUAUAUGAAUGACUUGUGUAUAAAUUGAUCACAUGUCCGAUUAUAAUCGAUAAGUGUUGAAUUAGAAAUGAUAUAAUGUUUUAUUUGGAAUAUUUAUUAUGAAAUUAUGAUUAUCGCUAUAAUACAAAAAUCGAACUUGUGAAUUUAUAUAACUAAAUUUUGGUGACCAUUUGUUAAUAUUAUUAAAUUUCAAUAUUAUUUUAUGAAUGGCGAUUAAUAUUUAUGUAUGUUAAUUGUUGAAAAUAAGUAAAUUAUGUACAAAAGUUAUGAAAUUGAACUAAGUAUUUCAGAGGAACGGAACGCAGGAAAUGAGUACGAUCUUUGAGUGAAAAAGAUGAAUUGAAGGUAAAUUACCCAAGUAAAUUGAGAUUCAGCAUUUGUUGCGAAGUCUCGUGUUUGCUUUCCGUUUAGCUCUUACGAACUUUCGUUAACUCAUAUGAGUUUCAGUUAACCCUUUUAGGGUUUCAAUUCAGCUCUAAUGAGCUUCAGUUAGCUUUUGGGCUUCCGUUUAACACUUGUGUGCUUCAGUUAGCCUUUGGGCUUCCGUUUAGCACUUAUGUGCUUCAGCUAGACUUCGGGCUUCAAAUCACGAUGUACUCAAAUCCGUAGGUUGUUCCUUGAAUGGACAAGUUGGUAAGUCGUAAAUGUAACGUGUGGAAAAAGAAAUGUAAGUAAUGUUAUCAUUAUUAUUAUUGAACUCAAUUAUGUGAUUUCGUCAUUCAGAGAUUGUAUUUGACAUGAUAUGUUAGUAAAUUAUGAGUAUGUAAAUCAAAGUGACAGAAUUUAAACACCUAAUAAGGUUGAGCUCAUUCAUAUGAAUUUGUCAUUUGAAAUUGUGAUUGACAGGAAGAAACAGUGAAUUGCAUGCUUAUAAAUGGUUACACAUAAUUAUCUAAAAAAAAAAGAAAAAUGACGGUUAUUGAUAUAUGGAGACAUGAGACAUUGAUAUAUGAAUGUGGAAUAUGUUUGAUAAAUGUGUUCAUUCAUAAUUCUGGAAUUAUGUACCUCAUGUGUUCUAUUUGCAUAAAGAUGAUAUUUCAAAUACUUUGGUGAAUAAAGCUUAAAAAUGAAAUAGUAUGAAAUCGAGACAAGUUGUUAUGAAAAUAUAUUUAAAUUAUCUGUAAGUGUUUCGUACUCCUCGGUAAUGCCUCGUACUCUAUUCCGGCGACGGAUACAGGUAAGGGGUGUUACAUUUAGAUCUAUUUUCUUAACAUCAUUAAAAUAAGAUGACAUGAAACUAUUAUAUAAAACAAAAUAUAACAUAUUUAAUUUGUAAUUGAAUAUUAUUUAGGAUUGAAAAUUAAUUCUUGUACUUAAUUAUAAAAUAUUUAAGUAUUGCUAAGAGGACUGAUUUAGCAAAGGUCACUUUCCCCUCCAUCGAAAGUAAGCUUGCAUUCCAACCGCUCAAUCAAUUGUGAACCUUUUCAAUAAUAAACUGAAAAAAGCUUUUGGUAACUAUUUUGUGGAAUAAAUGAACCCCUAAAUACAAGCCCAUGUCAUCAACUAUAUUGAAAUUAAAAACACUACAAAUAGGUCAACUUUUUCCUCCUUCACUUUAGUUGAGAAAUAUAUCUUUGUUUUAGAAUAGCUCACUUCAUGCCGUGAAGACUGGCAAAACUAUUUCAGAAUAUUUUUCACCACUUGAGCUUGGUCUAAAUCUGUUUUACAAAAAAGAACAAGAUCGUCGGCGAAAAAGAGAUGAGAAAGAGAGAGACUAUUCCUUGCAAGUUUAAUCGGAUACCAUUAAUUACGUUCCACUGAAUUAUAAAUGCUCUAGCCUAAUCGUUCCAUACCAAAAACAAAGAGAUAUGGUGAGAUGGGGUCCUCUUGUCGAAUGUCAGGCGACGAAGUAAAUUCAUCAGUUAAGCACCCAUUCCACAAGAUCUGCAUAUUGACAAUAGAGACAUAGUGCAUAAUAGUUCGCACCAUAUCAAUUGGAAUACCAACAUCAAAGAGAGAAUCCUCUAGAAAAUCCCAUCUAAGUAUGUCACAGGCUUUCUCCAAGUCAAAUUUAAUAGCCAUCUGAUGCUCAUUACCUUUACGAAUUCUCAUCGAGUGGAUCAUUUCCUGGACAAUAAUGAUAUUAUCAAUGAUGAUUCUCCCAAGAACAAAGCUAACUUGAUUAGGAUCAAUCAAUCUUGGCAUAACAACCUUAAGCUUGUUCACCAUGAGCUUAAUGACAAUUUUAUAGAGAACGACAAACUUUUGUGGCAUAAUUUUAGUGAAAUCGUGCCAUGAUGGUAGUGGCGGUGGGGGAAGCAGAAGAGGAAGGUGGUAAAUUUUGAGAAUCAAAAUUGAGAUCAUUUGUAAAUUUUGAGGGUUAAAAUUUUUUUAAAAUGAUGACUAAAUUGAUAUAAUAUGUAAAAGUUGAAGGCUAAAUUUGUUAUUAUACCCUUUUUAAUUGCCAUGUCACCCUCCCAUUAGUGCAAUUAACGAAAAUGGAUAAAAAAAACAAUUUCGAUUAGUUGAGUGAUCAAUAAAAAAAAUUAUAGUUGGAUGACAAAAAAAAAACAAACUCAUAAUUGGGUGUUCAAAUUUAAAAAAAAAUCAUAAUUUGGUGACCACAAAAGAAAAUGGCCCAUACUUAUAUGACAUGUGGUGUUUACCCUUUAUUAAUUUCACCAGUGUCGUAUUUAUAAAUGAAAAAUAUUUAUUUGAUAAUUAUAUAACAAAAAAUAAUUGUUAUAAUGAGACUAAAUUUAACCAAAAUUUUUUAUCAUUGUUAACAAUUGUACUUAUAUUUUUAAAUCCAAAAAUAAAAAUAAAUUCCUUUUAAGUAAAAAAAAAGGAACUAAAUUCAAAUAUAUAAAGAAUACAAAUGUCAUAAUUUAUCUUUGGGUAAAAUACCUGAGUUUAUCAGUGUUCUUAUUUUGGUCACCUAUUUUAAAAAUUUGUCAUUUUAGAUAGUCACUCUGGUUAGAUAAAUUGUCAAUCUUAGUCAUUCUGUCAUUAAACACUUAUGGUCGCUAGACGAAAUGCUUACGUGGCAGUCUUUUGAAUGGUAUAAUAACAAAUUUAACCUUUAACAAUUUGCAUAUUCUGGUAAUUUGGUCCUAUUUCUAAAAAAUUCAACAAAUUUUACCCACAACAUUUGCACAUUCUGUCAAUUCAAUCCUAAUUCUAAAAAUAAUAUAUAUAUAAUUUUAAUGCUUCAAAAACUUAAAAUUUAUUAUAAAAAAACAUAUAAAAAUACAUAGUUUUUUUUAUUAAAAUACCUUGUUAAAUAAAUUAAUUUGAUAGUAAAUAUAAAAAACUAUCUAAUUUAUAAAUGAAAAUUUUAUUAAAGUUCUUGAUUAAAUAAAUAAUUUGAUAACAAAUAUCAAAUAUAAUUUGAGUUAGUAUUUGGUACAUUAGUAUACUUUUUAACAAACGUAAAAUAUUGUUAUGGUUCUCUUUUUUUUUUAAUUUUUUUUAAUAUUUUACUAUACCCUUACAAGAAAUUUGUCAAACCGUCUAGCCCUAUUUGUGGAGUCUAAAAACUCCACUAAUAGUGUAUCAAAUAAUUUUCUAUAUAAUUUUCUAUUAUAAUAAAUAUAAAAAUGGAAACCUAGGAAAAAAAUAUGAAAUUUUAAAGGUUAGUUUAGCGUUGCUUUUAAAAAAUGAUUUUAAAAAAUUCGGUUUAAAAUUUAAGUAUUUAGUAUUGCUAUCAAAAAUACUUUUCAAAAAUAAAAUGUUUAUUUUAAACAUGAUAUAAUAAACUACAAAACAAGCAUUUAAACACUAUUUGAAUUUAUUAUAUUUCAAUAUUUCAAUAAAAUGUAAAAAAUAAUUUAUUGCAACUCAUUGUUAAUAUUUUGAUAUAUGAAAUACAAAUUUUGAAUAUUUUAAAGUAAUUAAUAUUAAUUAUUUGUAAAUUCAAUUUGAAUUAUAACCAUUACAAAUUUAAAUAUAUAAUUUAUAUAUUUGAAAUAAAUUUGAAUAAAAAUAAUUUUAUCCAAUAUAAAUAUUUAAUAAAAUACAUUGAAUUAUAAAUAAUGAUUAAAAAUAUUAUUUGACCCAAAGGCCCGUCCGAAAAGUAAGAGGGUUUGAGUAAAAAUAUAGGCCCAAAAAAUGUGCUUGGGUAAAAAAAGGCCUUUUUGAAAAACGGACCGAGCCUCAAGUAAGACUUUUUUCGCCUGGGCUCAGCUCAACCUGAAUUAGCAAAAAGACCAAAAAAUAUUUUUUUUGUUGUUUUGUUGCUAUUUUCUUGUUGUUUUUUAACUGUUUUGUUACCAUUUCACUAUUAUGUUACUAUUAUUUUAUUGUUAUUGUUUGGAUAUUGUAUAACUCUUGUUUUAUUGUUAAUUUUGUUACUAUUUUAGAGUCAUUUGCUUGUUAAGUUACACCUAAUGUUAUUUAAAUAUAAAUAUUUUUUAAUUUAUUUUUAAUUUGUUGGGAAACAUUUAUUUUAAUGUUUUAGUAUUUUUGAUGUAUUAUAUUUUUAAAAUUUUUAUAUAAAAAAUUAAUUCGGCCAGGUCAAGUCCAGGUUUUAACAUUUUUAUAUGGGUCAGGCUUGGACAAAAUUUUAAACUCAUUUUUCAGGUUAAGAUGGACCCAAGCCUAGAAAACGGGCAUAAUUUUUUGGUAAGGCUUGACUCGGCCCAUAUACAGGUCUAUUAAAAGCACUUCCCAAAUGCAAAAGUUAGAAAAAAGUUUUCUUUUUUUAGGUUUAAAAGUAUUUUUGACUUCAAAAACAGUUUGCUUAGCAUUGCUUUUCGAAAAGCAAUACUAAAUACAUCUUAGGUGAACUCUUUAGCUCUACCAUUGAUGACAUGGCACUCGAUGAAGCUUUAAGGUCAUCCCCUACUUCCUCAAUCAUGGCAUCCUCUGUUAGUCCAAUUCUUUAUGCCUUUUUUUAUAAAAAUAAUAUAAAAAAUUGAUUAAUUAUGAAAAUCAAUUGAAUGACAAAAUAUUUAUAAAAAUAAGUUGUUUUCUAUCCGCUACCGUACCUAAGAUAAUGUCUGAUACAUUGACGACAUCACUCUCUUUUUUUAAUAAUCAUUACACAGUUAUUGAACUUAAAAAGAAAAAAAAUUUUAAUAUUAUUAUUGUGUCAAACAUACUCAUAUAUAUUUUUAAAAAUAUCCGUAAAAAUACAAAUAUAGUAGGCGGUAUUAUUGACCAAAGGACGUUAGUAUUAAAGUGGACAGAGAUCGGACAAGUACUAAUUAUGUCGUGCCUUACUUGUCGAUUUCUAAAGUUAAUUUUUUUUUUCUUUUCUUUUUCAGUGAAAAGAUAAAUUAAAUUGAUUGGGUGGUAUUAACGACAUGAUCGUCCAAACGAAGUUCCACGCCUUUAAGACUUGUACUACUUGUACAAUCUGUCAUCACUCAACUUUUAGUGGCCUCCACUCAUCGAUCUUAUCUACCUUCUUCAUCGUCUCUGUUGCCUGUCCUGUGCUGUACCAGAUGGUCAUGAAAGCUGAGCUUGUCUUCAUCCCAAUGCCUCGAAUGGGCCAUUUCGUAUCUAUGGUCCAACUGGCUAAGCUUUUGCUUGAUCUCCAUCCCAAUCUCUCCAUUACUGUUUUCAUGAUGAAACUAAACCCCGAUGCAAAAGUCGCUGCCUACGUCCACUCUCUCACUGCCACUCGCAUGAAAUUCAUCGACCUCCCUCCACCUGAAACCCACGAAGAUGGAUCUCUCUCCAAUUUUGCCACUACUUUAUUGCAAACCCAUGGACCGUUAGUGAAACAGGCUGCCACCAAUAUAGUUCAGUACUCCACCUCUGUGCUCGACUCGCCUCGCCUCGCCGGGUUUGUUCUCGACAUUUUUUUAACUCCUUUCAUUGAAUUGGGUAACGAGUUGGGUGUUCCGAGUUAUGUUUUCUACACAUCGGGUGCAGCUUUUCUCGGCUUUCAGUUAUAUGUACUAGACCUUCACGAUGAGCAAAAUGUUAACAUCUUUGAGUUUAAGGACUCGGACACUGAUUUCACCAUACCCUCCUACCUCAAUCCUGUGUCAUCUAAACUCUUUCCCACUGUUAUGCUCGAACCUGAAUCUUUUCCUAUGGUGAUUACCUUGACAAGAGGGCUAAGAAAGGCCAAGGGUAUAAUGAUAAACACGUUUUGGGAGCUCGAAUCACAUGCAAUUAGUUCCCUAUCUGAUGCUAGUGCUCUACCCGUUUAUCCAGUGGGACCUAUAUUGAAUCUCGAGAGUGAAACUGAGGUCCAUCAGAGUUCUGAUAUCAUGAAAUGGCUGGAUGAACAACCGCCGUCAUCGGUAGUGUUUCUCUGCUUCGGGAGCGGGGGGAGCUUCAAUGGGGAUCAAGUGAAAGAGAUUGCUUUCGCGCUAGAGCAGAGUGGGCACCGGUUCUUGUGGUCAUUGCGCCAACCCCCACACCCAUCCAAGGGUCCGAGGGCAAGCCCAACCGACUACGAUGAUGCAUCGGAGGUUCUGCCAGAAGGGUUUUUAGAUCGAACGCAUGGCAUAGGUAAGAUCAUUGGUUGGGCACCGCAAGUGGCGAUUUUGGGCCACCCAGCGACUGGAGGGUUCGUAUCGCACUGUGGGUGGAACUCGACGCUGGAGAGUAUAUGGUUCGGAGUUCCCAUAGCGGCGUGGCCAGUUUACGCAGAACAACAACUGAAUGCGUUUGAAUUGGUGAGGGAGUUGGGAUUAGCAGUGGAAAUUAAAAUGGAUUAUAGGAAAGAUGGUAUGGAUAGCGGUGAAAUUGAAAUCGUGAGUGCCAAAACGAUAGAGAAAGGAAUAAGGAGCGUGAUGGAAGAGGGCAGUGAUGUUAGGAAAAGGGUAAAAGAGAUGAGUGAAAAGAGUAGGAAAGCCUUGAUGAAUGCUGGAUCUUCACACUCUACGUUACGUGGUUUGGUCGAUGAUGUGAUGAACAAUAUGUUUACGAAAAAUUACCAGGUUUGACAUCCAUCCAUGAAAUAUGAUUAAGAAAAAGAUGUGCUAUGUCCCUUAGUUUCAAGACUCGUACUCUUGUUCUCCUAUCUUAUAUUUAUAGAAAUUGGUGGUGUUAUUAUAUAUUACUUAGUACUUAUGAAACUGUUUUUUUGUCGAUGUAAGAGUUCUAUUGCAUAUCGAAAUAUUGGCUGAGAGCAAAUGGAACUCAGAGGCAUAAUAUAAUCAUUAACAAUGUCACCAUUCUUAAUACACAUUUAGACUUCUCUCUUGACACCCCCACCACAAAAACUUAAUUUUAAGUGCAUUAUGCCUGGGGUACGAGUACAAGUAGAAGCAUGCAUGCAUGAGAUAUUAUAAACCCAACUUUCAUCAAAAAAGUGAGAAAAUAUGUUACAUACUCUGAUUUCACAUCACCUCUACCUUGUGUUAUUUCCACAACUACCACUACUUGUGCUGAUGAUAAAUGAAAUCUAUGAACUAGCCAUGCGACUCAGGCCGAUGGUAUUCUCGCCAACAAUUCUUUGGAUCCUACCAAGUGUCCUGGAAUGCAUUGCUCUUGAUCUCUUCAAAAGCAGACAGUGUUUCUGAAUCAAGAUCUCCAGCAAACUGCACACACAGCAGGAGCUAUAUAAGGAAUGUUUUCAUAAGCACAAGCAGGAACUAGAAUAAUUAAUGAGUUCUCAUACCUUAAAAACCCUCUUAACACAUACUUAAAAAUCAUGACACGAAAACGAAAUACAGAAUCAUGUAUCCCAGAAACCAAUUUCACUUUCCAAAUUAGGUUUCUAUUGAUUGAACAUCCUUAACACAUUGAGGAGUAGGGAGGGAUUUGUGUUUAUAGGGAAGGGAACCAACUCAAGGAUUAUCUGGUGAGCCUUAUUUGCAAAAUGCAUGCCUUGAAGAAGCAGUGCCUCUCCACACCCCAAGGCCUUCCGAGUUCAUUUCUUGCAAGUUCUCUUCACCACCUGUAGUUUCUCUCUCCUUCCAAACCUCCAGCCUAGAUGUUUAAAUCCCUUCUCCUUGAGGAGUCCGUAAAGCAUGCUCCACUCACCUCUACUACACUUUCAAGGUCUGUCUCCCUCAAAUACAAUGGAAAUCAUCAAUCUUCCCACCAAGGAGUCAAAGGAGUUCAAAGAGCCUGAAGAUAUUGCGGACCCCCUCAAGGCCCUCUUUCAGCAACACUAGCGCUUAGACAUCACCUACACUAAUCUGUGUCGUUUUAUCUUCAAUUUACUUUAGAGUUUCUUCCCUUCAAUGAGUCAAAGGAGUUUGAAGAAUCCAGAAAGCUACCUCUAGGGCCUCCUCAUCAUCCUCUUUGAGUUCCUAGGUUGCGUCUCACACCUAGGUAACUCUGAUCCCUUUCCUUUCUUUGUUACUAACUCUAUUUGCCACCUUCCUUCCCCAUGAUUCAAGCAUUACCUCAUGUUGAGUACAAACGCUCGCCCUAUUGCAAUCCUUGAACUUUUCCAUUCGCAAAAUUUGGUUAUUUAAUUAAUAACCAAACUCAAGAUACCAUGCCUAAAAAAAGCAAUAAAGAGUGCCCCUUGAUGUGAUACUCUACCCCAAUGUGGGAGAAAGCUAAGCUCUAUUCAAGAAGGUUUGCACUAACAAAGGCCAAGUCUCCAAAACUCCUUAAAAAGAAGCGGCGAACCGUUAGACCACCAAUACUCCCUUUCCCGCCAAAUCUCCUCCAUCGUUCAAGCCGCCACCGACUGUGCUCGUGAGCUCGGCCGGGAAUUUUAUUUUACUCAUUUGGAAUCUAAUAUACUAACUUUUUGUUUGAGGAUUUUGUGGAUGUGGUUGCAGUGCAGGUAACAGAUGAAUGGUUUCGUAGGAACUCCACUGAAGAAAUUUUGCUGUAAGAUUAGGCCGAAUAUCAAUUUUACUUAUAAGUAAUUUGAUAAAAAGAACUGUGUGAUUAGCUAUGAUAUAAAAGAUUAAUUCAAAUAUUAUUCUUUAAUUUGAAAGUAAAAUCAUGCAUUUUAAUUUCCAUUUCAAAGUUACAUCUUUAAACGUUUUAUAUAUUUUUGUGUUUUUAUUUUUUCAAUUUUUUUAAACUAUAAAUUUUUAGAAUUUAGAUUAAAUUUAUCCCAAGGUUGUGGGUAAAAAUUGUUAAUUUUUUUUUAAAUUACGAUCAAAUUUAUAAAAUACGUAAAAUAUUAAAAGUUAAAUUUAUUAUUAUAACAAACCAAAUAUUGGGCCAAAAGUAUUUAAGAGUAAAUUAGGUUUUUAUUACCAAUAAAAAUAACAUCCCUAUGUUUCAAUAUGAAUACUACCAUUUUAUAGGAGUUUCGUGAAAAUAAAGUCAAAACUCCUCAUCAAAUUUGAACCGACGACUUACGCAGAUGGAUAAGAUCCAUUUAUAUAUAUAACUAUAUGCAGUAGACUCAUAGUGGCUAGUAACUAAAAUUAACAACUCGUCUGACAGAAACAACUAAAAUAAUAAACUUUUUAAAUAAACGAUAAAAAUAAAAUCAUGAACAAAUUUAGAUGACCAACUAGAUAAAUCUGAGGUACAAGAGCGAGACAAUAAUCUCUUUACCUAACAUCUUCUACAAAUUUUUAUAAACAAUAUGAUUUUUUUUAACAAUAAACAAUUUAACUUUAUAAAUUCUUUAUCCUACUAAUUAAUCACCAAAAUAUGAAGACAUAUAAACGAUGCAAACACUAAGAAGACAUAUGUAGCAUAUCUAUAAUACCGAAGAAUAUGAAUCUAGUUGAAAGCCCAUUUAUUGUACACCAAUCAUACACGUUUUCUAUAUUUUUAUUUUACUCCAUUUAUUAUAUAGUUAAUUAUUUAGAAAUAUGUUUAUUUAUGAUUUCUUUACUAUUUGUGAACACGUACAAUCACAAAUAAAUCAUUAAUUUAAAGUUAAAUUCUACUGUUAAUCCUCCUUUUAUUUUACAAAAAUAAUACAUUUAGAUUUUAUACUCUAAUUCAAUUAAUUAUUAAUGUCCAUCUACUCUAUAAAUCAAAUUUUAAAAUUAAUCCCGACCAAAAUAUUAAUACUGUUUAGUUAAAUUUAAUCACAUAUAUUAUACACAGACUGUAGAUUUAAUUCAUUUUAAAUCUCAAUGCUUUUCAAAUUUUAGAUUUUUAUUUAUUACACAAACUAAUCCAUUAACAAGAAUUUAAUGAAUAAUACAUUACAUAUAAUAAUUUUAGUACAUAAAAUUUUGAACAUAACAACUUAAUAAAUAAAUUUAUUAUUUGAUAAGAACAAAAAUUUUUAAAAAUUGAUAAAUACAACUAAAAAUACUGAACUAAUGUACAAAAUUAAAUCCACAACCUUCACAUUUAAAUUUUAAUUUAAACAAGGAUAAACCACAUAAUCAGCCGAAUUAUUCAAUUAGUGCAUUUGAAGUACCCGUGUAUCCGCAGCAAUCCCAUUGAUAAAUUUGGAACAUUGUGCCUCAACAAAAUAAACAGUGGUGCUAAAUGCAUAAAGAUUUAAGACAUUAUUCUAGACAGAACACUUGAGAAUAUCCUUGAUGACCACCCUCGGUACUAAAACUAUCAAACAACAUGCAGCAUCACAAGUUGCUGCCAUAUCCCAAAGCUCAAAGCUUCAACAAAACCAGAUCAUGAAGGUAUGGCACAACCCUCCAGCCAUUGUUCUGAAUUUCAAAUACUUCACCAAUACCACAGCUGCCACCACCAGUCGUAUAUUCAAUCAUCCAAUGCCAUUUCAACCACUCAUCAUUCCCAACUUCUUAUUUAGCAAAUCAACUAUGUACAAGCCAUUAACUAGUUUUUAACUAGGGCAAAAGAUGCACUCUAGGUGCUAGAACCCUUGUAUUGCCUUUGGCACAAAGCAUAACCCUCAUGUAAGUGUAUUGAGUUUUUGGAAGUCAUGUGUGUCAGCAUAAUAAAGCUUAGGAGCUACAGUCUCUAAAAUGCGGUCUAGUUUAUCUAUGAAACAUGCAAUUUCUUUAUUAGUCAAUAUGCAUUAUUUUUUUAUGGUCCAUGAUGUUGAAUGCUCAAAUAUUGAGUUUGAGAUGGAUCCAUUUCUUACUAUUAGAGGUAAAAAAAUGAAAAAUCAGAAAAUUAUGCCUAUGGCCCUACAAGAAGGCAUGGCUAGGCGCAUCAGGCGUGCACCUGAUCAAAUGGACCUAGCCUGGAAGUGUCUUGAGGCGUUUUUUGUUGGAUAAUGCUAAGGCACAUGGCGCACACCUUGACAACACUGGCAACAUGACAAAAAUUUCAAGCCCAAACCAAGAUAAUUUGACAACAUUAAGGCAUAAAGACUUAAUAUAGGAGAUACCCAUGCAUGCAUAUAAAUAACAAGCUUGUUCCACCAUGAUGAGCAGACAGGAAACAAAAUCAAGUCCACCAUCAAGGGUUAACUACCAAACAAAAAAGGUAAAUGUAAGAGCCGCACUCACCUGAAAUUAUCAACCUACCUUAGCAGCAAGCAAUUUGGAGUUAAUCCAGUUGCCUCUAUAAAAGAUUGACACAAAUUCAAUCAAUGCGACAACUAGAAAGAAAGAACCCCCAGCUAACAGUAGACAAAGGAAGAAAAGGAGAAAAAAGGGGUAUUGCCCAGACAAGUGAACAACCUACCUCUUAGUCUCCUGUUCAAGAACAAUUCCGUCAAUGCAACACAACUAGAACCCUUAGACCACAUUCUUAGUGCAUAAAAUACUUGAAGCUGAGAGACUCUCAGUAUGGGCGUGAACGAUUUCCGCCAUAGUGAUGCCUAUCUGGCCCAGAACCACCAUCUCUGUAACUAUCCCUGCGCCUGUCGCCACCACCUCCGUAGCCACCUUUACCACCUCUGUCAAAUUUUAAAAAAAAAAAAAAAACAGAAUUUAUUUAGGAAAAGAACAAGUUUACUUGGUAUAAACACAAGUGAGAAAUUUUAGGCAAUCUUCUUUGCUGUUUAAUUCCACAGUGACAAACAAAAGGGGUGACCAAGUAUUACCAUAAGCAAACCAUACACAAGAUGAGCAGUAAAACAUAGGCUGUUAAUGAUAACCAAAGGUGCUCAUUUGAAUAUUUGGUUUCAAAAGGAAAUAAAAGCAAGUAAAACCUUAAAGCAGGAAUCCGACAUGACAGUAUAAAAUAUAGACAGAAAAAAAUGCUCUAUAGGCAUCAUAUGUUCAUAAAUAACAUUGAAAAACAAAGCAUCUAAUUAUUAUAUAGAUUAACUCAAUCCAAAGAAAACCCCAAUGGGACAUCUCAAUCACUUCGAGACAGGAAAAGGCAUCUAAAUGAAAAGGUUAUAGUUAGGUAGUCAAAGGUAAAAAUGAUACCCAUGAUCAUGUACUUUGAGCGCAGUCUUCUCUGCCAUAGCCACGCCGAUCGUAUAGCCUCUCAUGACAUGAUCUGAGAGAAGAUUCCACAAGGAUGAGGUAAAAUAUUUAAGGCAACAAACUAAACUAAGAAGUUUGUGAGUACUUACUGUUAAAGAAACUGCCAGCAGAGUGAGCAGCCUGAGGAUCUUCGUAAGACAAAACUGCAUCGCCUUUCUGGUUUCCUUUAUCAUCUGUGUAUAUUUUAAUAUUCCAUGGCCAUUGAUCUUUAUAGCCACGCUUCUGCUUAAUUCUUCCAACCUAAACAAGAAGUGAAUUGUUAGAAACACUAGUGAGGAUAAAAAAAUAUUCAUGCAAAAUAGAAAAAGAAAUUGUCAAUAGAACCACGUACAUAAAACACCCCUAAGUCCAUGAAAACAUGGAACUAGAGAACAAAAUAAGUUUCAAAGAAUAAUUAUCAUAAACUAAAAAUACCAUAUCUGAAAAUAAAACAGAAACACCGGUACGAAGUAGACGACAUAAUUCCCAUUAGACAGCACAUGGAUUUAAAGUAUAAGAUUCAGCCAUUACUUGUCCAAUGCCACCAAAAAGGUCUCUUAAUUCUUCAAUAGUGACAUCAGGUGGCAAAUUUGUUAUGUAUAUUCUUGAGUUGUCGCAAGAAUCCCCACAGUUGCCGUCACACUGCUUGAUCUUAGCCGGUGCUUCAACAGGAGGCCCACCAUAACCACCUCCCUGAUUUCGAGGACCACCAGAACCAUACCCACCAGGAGGUCCACCACGACCACCAGUCCUCACAUCACUCAAACCCUCACCAGCAUAACCACCCACAGGGCCACCAUAAGAUGGAGGGUAUGAUGUAGGUCCACCAGUAUAGCUCGUAGGUGGAGGGACUGAGUCCAUUCCAUAAUUUGCAUUCCCACCAUAUGCAUUAGGAGCAGGUGGAUAAUUCCCACCAUAAGAAUUGGGCGCUGGAGGAGGAACUUGACUGUACCCACUAUCUUCUCCCCCUUGACUACUUCCAUAAGAACC
rnacentral:lncRNA from 1 species